UUUUUUCAUCAGGUUUAGGUGUUCUAAUAUAGCUUUUGUUAACCACAGUUGAAACUUUAGCAUGUUCCUUUAUCCUAACAGGGAAAGGUGGUUUCUCAAUAUAAGCAGAGGGAACAACCGGGUCAACAUUAUAAAGUAUAGUUUCUUCUUUAACUGGUACCGGUUCUUUAAUUUCUUCUUUAAUAGGUGGGUGAUAUUUAAAUCACUUCUCUUUAGGGAGAUCAACAUGAGUAGAAAAUAAUUCACAAAAGGAGGCUACUAUCUUAGAGUCAAGUCCAUAUUUAGUGCCAAACCUUUGAAAAGCAUCGGUAUCCAUAAAAGAUUUAACACAAUCAUACUUAAGUUUAACACCUGACUCUUUACCUUCGUCGAGUUCCCAAUCUUUAGUGUUGCGUUUAAUUCUUUCCAAAAUAUCACACCAGAAUUCAAUAGUCUUCUUCAUAAAAGAACCAACACAAGAAAUAUCAAGCAUGGUUUGAUCAUUACGAGAAAGCCAAGCAUAAAAAUUCUGGAUAAUAAUUUCUCUUGAGAGCUCAUGAUUGGGGCAUGAAUACAACAUUGACUUAAGCCUCCCCAAGCUAGAGCGAUACUUUAUCCUUCACGAGGUAAAAAAUUAUAUAUAUAAUUCCAAUCACGAUGAACUAGAUGCAUAGGAUAAUUUUUUUGGUGGAACUCCAAUUUCAAUCGAUUCCAAUUCCAAGAUCCAAUAUCAUCGCAUAGCCUAUACCAUGCCGAUGCUAUUCUCUUCAAAGAUAAGGGGAACACCUUUUUCAUAACUUCAUCCCCGGGUAAACCUGCAAGCUUAAACAAUCCACAAAUUUGUUCCACAUAUAUCAAGUGCAUAUCAGGAUGUUCGGUUCCAUCUCCUGCAUAAGGAUUAGCUAGCAGUUGUUCUAUCAUACCCGAAGGAAUUUCAUAUUCAAUAUUUUCAGUAGGUGCAGUAGGUUGAGGGGUGGCUAAUUGUGGUUACGGUCCAGGUGAAGAUACCCCAAACAAACCCCUCAAAGGAUUGUUUUCCAUAGUAACAAGUGACAAUAAAUUUCAGCACACUAUAUAAAUGUUUCCUUACCAAAUUCCACUUACCAAAGGCGCUUCACUCCCCUGCAAUGGCGCCAGAAAAUAGCCUUGAUGACCCACAAGUAUAGGGGAUCAAAUGUAGCUCUUUUCGAUAAGUAAGAGUAUCGAACCCAACGAGGAGCAGAAGGAAAUGACAAGUGGUUUUCAAUAAGGUAAUGUCUGCAAGUGCUGAAAUUGUAUGUAGCGGAGUAGUUUCAUAGCAAGGUAAUUUGUAAUGAGAAAGUAACGGUAGUGGUAACAAAAGUGCAGCAAGGUAGCCCAAUCCUUUUGAGGCAAAGGACAGGCCAAAACGGUCUCUUAUGAUAAGCAAAGCGUUCUUGCGGGUACACGGGAAUUUCAUGUAGUCACUUUCAUCAUGUUGGUUUAAUUCGUGUUCGCUACUUUGAUAAUUUGAUAUGUGGGUGGACCGGUGCUUAGGUGAUGUUCUUUCUUGAAAAAACCUCCUACUUAUGAUUAACCCUCCCGCAAGCAUCCUCAACUACGAGAAAAGUAUUAAGAAUAAAUUCUAACCAUAGCAUUAAACUUUUGGAUCCAAUCGGUCCCUUAUGGAAUAGCGCAUAAACUGGGGUUUAAGCUUCUGUCACUCUCACAACCCACCAUCUAAUUGCUACUCCACAAUGCAUUCCCUUAGGCCCAAAUAUGGUGAAGUGUCAUGUAGUCGACGUUCACAUGACACCACUAAGGUAAUCACAACAUACAUACUAUCAAAAUAUCGAACACAUAUCAAGUUCACAUGAUUACUUGCAACAUGAUUUCUCCCGUGACAUCAAGAACAAAAGUAACUACUCACAAAUGAUAAUCAUGCUCAAGAUCAUAGGGGUAUUAAAUAGCAUAUUGGAUCUGAACAUAUUAUCUUCUACCAAAUAAACCAUAUAGUAAUCAACUACAAGAUGUAAUCAACACUACUAGUCACCCACAAGCACCAAUCUAUAGUUCCGGUAACAAGAUUGAACACAAGAGAUGAACUAGGGUUUGAGAUGAGAUGGUGCUGUUGAAGAUGUUGAUGGAGAUUGCCAUCCCCAAGAUGGGGGAGUGGUUGGUGAUGAUGAGGACGAUGAUUUCCCCCUCCGGGAGGGAAGUUCCCCCGGCGAAAUCGCUCCGCCAGAGGGCAAAGUGCUCCUGCCCAAGUUCCGCCUCGAGACGGCGGCACUCCGUCCCGAAAGUCCUCUUUCUAUUUUUUCUAGGUCAAAAUGACCUAUAUACUAGAAGAUGGGCACCGGAGGUGGGCCUGGGUGAUUACAACCCACCAGGGCGCGCCUGGGCUCCCUGGCGCUCCCAGGUGGGUUGUGCCCACCUGGUGGGCCCCCUCUGGUAGUUAUUUGCUAUAAUAAUUAUCAAAUAUUCCAUAAAAAAUCCUUGUGAAGAUUCACCUUGUUUGGAGUUGUGCAGAAUAGGUAGCCUGACGUAGCUUUUCCAGGUCCAGAUUUCCAGCUGCCGGAAUUCUCCCUCUUUGUGUAUACCUUGCAUAUUAUGAGAGAAAAGGCUUUAGAAUUACUGCAAAAAGAAUUAUUAUGGAUAAAACAUUAUAAAUAACAGUAAGAAAACAUGAUGCAAAAUGGACGUAUCAGUCCACCAUACCUACCUAUAUGCGGUAUUCUUUUGUCGUUCUAAGCAAAUUUGCAUGUGCCAUCUCUAAUUUUGAAAAUAAAUUUCCUUUUUGUGUGCUCGCACCGCUCAUGAAACGGUAGCGGGUGGCUGAUAUUUUUCCAUGCUAGAUGUGUUAUUCUCAAGAUGAGUGUUUAUUCACUUGUCAUUGCACGAGAGUACGGCAAAGGUACUAGGGAUACCUAGUCCCGAAAUGAAAAAUGAAUUUACUUUAUGUUGUCAAAUAAUAAAUUAUUUGGAAAGUGUUGGUAUGGAGGCAAAUGACAAAGUUCUCCUCGAUUCUCUUGGAGAUCUAUUCGAUGUAAUUCUUUUUGCGGUGUGUUUGUCUAGAUCCGAUGAAUUGUGGGUUUAUGAUCAAGAUUAUCUAUGAACAAUAUUUGGUUUUCUCUGAAUUCUUAUAUGUAUGAUUUGUUAUCUUUGCAAGUCUCUUCAAAUUAUCAGUUUGGUUUGGCCUACUAGAUUGAUCUUUCUUGCCAUGGGAGAAGUGCUUAGCUUUGAGUUCAAUCUUGCGGUGCCCUUUCCCAGUGACAGCAGGGGCAGCAAGGCACGUAUUGUAUUGUUGCCAUCGAGGAUAAAAAGAUGGGGUUUAUAUCAUAUUGCUUGAGUUUAUCCCUCUACAUCAUGUCAUCUUGCCUAAUGCAUUACUCUGUUCUUAUGAACUUAAUACUCUAGAUGCAUGCUGGAUAGCGGUCGAUGUGUGGAGUAAUAGUAGUAGAUGCAGAAUCAUUUCGGUCUACUUGUCACGGACGUGAUGCCUAUAUACAUGAUCAUGCCUAGAUAUUCUCAUAACUAUGCGCUUUUCUAUCAAUUGCUCGACGGUAAUUUGUUCACCCACCAUAAAUUAUGCUAUCUUGAGAGAAGCCACUAGUGAAACAUAUGGCCCCCGGGUCUAUCUUCCAUCAUAUUAUUUUCCUAUCAAUUUACUAUUUCUUCCGUUAUUUAUUUUGCAAUCUUUACUUUCCAAUCUAUAUCAUAAAAAUACCAAAAAUAUUUAUCUUAUUAUCUCUAUCAGAUCUCACUUUUGCAAGUGGCCGUGAAGGGAUUGACAACCCCUUUAUCGCGUUUGUUGCAAGGUUCUUAUUUGUUUGUGUAGGUACGAGGCGACUUGCGUAUAACCUCCUACUGGAUUGAUACCUUGGUUCUCAAAAACUGAGGGAAAUACUUACGCUACUUUGCUGCAUCACCCUUUCCUCUUCAAGGGAAAACCAACGCAUGCUCAAGAGGUAGCAAGAAGGAUUUCUGGCGCCGUUGCCGGUGAGGCUUACGCCAAGUCAAGUCAAGUCAAGACAUACAAAGUACCCAUCACAAACUCUUAUCCCUCGCAUUACAUUAUUUGCCAUUUGCCUCUUGUUUUCCUCUCCCCACUUCACCUUUGCCGUUUUAUUCGCCCUCUUUUUCCGUUCGCUUUUUUUCGCUUGCUUCUUGUGUGAUUGUGUGUUGGAUUGUUUGUCACGAUGGCUCAAGAUAAUACUAAAUUGUGUGAUUUUUCCAAUACCAACAACAAUGAUUUUCUUAGCACUCCGAUUGCUCCUAUUACCGAUGCAGAAUCUUGUGAAAUUAAUGCUGCUUUGCUGAAUCUUGUCAUGAAAGAUCAAUUCUCUGGCCUUCCUAGUGAAGAUGCCGCUACACAUCUAAACAACUUUGUUGAUUUGUGUGAUCUGCAAAAGAAGAAAGAUGUGGAUAAUGAUAUUGUUAAAUUGAAGCUAUUUCCGUUUUGGCUUAGAGAUCAUGCUAAAACUUGGUUUUCGUCUUUGCCUAAAAAUAGAAUUGAUUCAUGGAAUAAGUGCAAAGAUGCUUUUAUCUCUAAGUAUUUUCCUCCCGCUAAGAUCAUCUCUCUUAGGAACGAUAUUAUGAAUUUUAAGCAACUUGAUCAUGAGCAUGUUGGACAAGCUUGGGAGAGGAUGAAAUUAAUGAUACGUAAUUGCCCUACACAUGGUUUGAAUUUAUGGAUGAUUAUACAAAAAAAUUAUGCGGGAUUGAAUUUUGCUUCUAGAAAUCUUUUAGAUUCGGCCGCGGGAGGCACUUUUAUGGAAAUCACUUUAGGAGAAGCUACUAAACUCCUAGAUAAUAUUAUGGUUAAUUAUUCUCAAUGGCACACCAAAAGAUCUACUACUAAAAAGGUUCAUGCGAUAGAAGAGAUUAAUGUCUUGAGUGGAAAGAUGGAUGAACUCAUGAAAUUGUUUGCUAAUAAGAGUGUUUCUUCUGAUCCUAAUGGUAUGCCUUUGUCUGCCUUGAUUGAGAAGAAUAAUGAAUCUAUGGAUGUGAAUUUUGUUGGUAGGAACAAUUUUGGUAACAACGCUUAUAGAGGAAACUUUAAUCCUAGGUCGUUCCCUAGUAAUUCCUAUAAUAAUUAUGGUAAUUCCUACAACAACUCUUAUGGAAAUUUUAAUAAGAUGCCCUCCGAUUUUGAGACUAGUGUUAAAGAAUUUAUGAUUUCGCAAAAGAAUUUCAAUGCUUUGCUUGAAGAAAAAUUGCCUAAGAUUGAUGAGUUGGCUAGGAACGUGGAUAGAAUUUCUCUUGAUGUUGAUUCUUUGAAACUUAGAUCUAUUCCACCUAAGCAUUAUAUCAAUGAGUCUCUCAAAGCUAUGAGAAUUUCCAUUGAUGAGUGCAAAGAAAGAACCGCUAGGAUGCGUGCUAAAAAAGAUUGCUUUAUGAAAGCGUAUUCUUCUAGUUUUCAUGAUAAUAAGGAUGAAGAUCUAAAAGUGAUUGAUGUGUCUCCUAUUAAAUCUUUGUUUUGCAAUAUGAAUCUUGAUAAUGAUGGGACUGGAGAUGAGUCAACUUUAGUUAAGAGGCGUCCCAAUGAUUCAGAGUUUUUAGAUCUUGAUGCAAAAAUUGGUAAAAGUGGGAUUGAAGAGGUCAAAACUUUACAUAGCAAUGAACCCACUAUUUUGGAUUUCAAGGAAUUUAAUUAUGAUAAUUAUUCUUUAAUAGAUUGUAUUUCCUUGUUGCAAUCCGUGUUAAAUUCUCCACAUGCUUAUGAUCAAAAUAAAGCUUUUACUAAACAUAUCAUUGAUGCUUUAAUGCAAUCUUAUGAAGAAAAGCUUGAAUUGGAAGUCUGCAUCCCUAGAAAACUUUAUGAUGAGUGGGAACCUACUAUUAAAAUUAAGAUUAAAGAUCACGAAUGAUAUGCUUUGUGUGAUUUGGGUGCUAGUGUUUCCACGAUUCCGAAAACUUUGUGUGAUGUGUUAGGUUUCCGUGAAUUUGAUGAUUGUUCUUUAAACUUACACCUUGCGGAUUCCACCAUUAAGAAACCUAUGGGAAGGAUUAAUGAUGUUCUUAUUGUUGCAAAUAGGAAUGAUUUUCCCGUAGAUUUUAUUGUCCUUGAUAUAGAUUGCAAUCCUACAUGUCCUAUUAUUCUCGGUAGACCUUUCCUUAGAACGAUUGGUGCAAUUAUUGAUAUGAAAGAAGGAACUAUUAGAUUCCAAUUUCCGUUAAGGAAAGGCAUGGAACACUUUCCUAGAAAGAAAAUUAAAUUACCUUAUGAAUCUAUUAUGAGAGCCACUUAUGGAUUGCAUACCAAAGAUGAUAAUACCUAGAUCUAUUCUUGCCUUUAUGCCUAGCUAGGGGCGUUAAACGAUAGCGCUUGUUGGGAGGCAACCCAAUUUUAUUUUUGUUUCUUGCUUUUUGUUUCUGUUUAGUAAUAAAUAAUUCAUCUAGCUUCUGUUUAGAUGUGGUUUUAUGUUUUAAAUUAGUGUUUUUGCCAAGUAGAACCUUUGGGAAGACUUGGGUGAAGUCUAUAUGAUCUUGCUGUAAAAAACAGAAACUUUAGCGCUCACGAGAUUAGCUGCCAUUGUUUACUGGAGAGUGCUUUUAGGUUGAUUCUUUUUGCAGAUUAUUAGUAGACAAAUUCCUCACUUCCACCAGUUUAUUUCAGAAUUGUUGGAGUUACAGAAGUAUACGUUUGAUACAGAUUACUACAGACUGUUCUGUUUUUGACAGAUUCUGUUUUUCGUGUGUUGUUUGCUUAUUUUGAUGAAUCUAUGGCUAGUAUCGGGGGGUAUGAACCAUAGGGAAGUUGGAAUACAGUAGCUUUAACACCAAUAUAAAUAAAUAAUGAGUUCAUUACAGUACCUUUAAGUGGUGAUUUGUUUUCUUAUACUAACGGAGCUCAUGAGAUUUUCUGUUGAGUUUUGUGUUGUGAAGUUUUCAAGUUUUGGGUAAAGAUUUGAUGGAUUAUGGAAUAAGGAGUGGCAAGAGCCUAAGAUUGGGGAUGCCCAAGGCACCCCAAGGUAAAAUUCAAGGACAACCAAAAUCCUAAGCUUGGGGAUGCCCCGGAAGGCAUCCCCUCUUUCGUCUUCAUCCAUCGGUAACUUUACUUGAGGCUAUAUUUUUAUUCACCACAUGAUAUGUGUUUUGCUUGGACCGUCUUGUAUGAUUUGAGUCUUUGCCUUUUAGUUUACCACAAUCAUCCUUGAUGUACACACCUUUUGGAGAGACACACAUGAAUCAGAAUUUAUUAGAAUACUCUAUGUGCUUCACUUAUAUCUUUUAGAGCACGGUGGUGGUUUUAUUUUAUAGAAAUUAUUGAUCUCUCGUGCUUCACUUAUAUUAUUUCGAGAGUCCUUUAGAACAGCAUGGUAAUUUGCUCUGGCUAUAAAAUUAGUCCUAAUAUGAUAGGCAUCCAAGAUGGGUAUAAUGAAAACUUUCAUAAAAAGUGCAUUGAAUACUAUGAGAAGUUUGAUACUUGAUGAUUGUUUUGAGAUAUGAAGAUGGUAAUAUUAGAGUCAUUCUAGUUGAGUAGUUGUGAAUUUGAUAAAUACUUGUGUUGAAGUUUGCAAGUCCCGUAGCAUGCACGUAUGGUAACCGUUGUGUGACAAAUUUGAAACAUGAGGUGUUCUUUGAUUGUCAUCCUUAUGAGUGGCGGUCGGGGACGAGCGAUGGUCUUUUCCUACCAAUCUAUCCCCCUAGGAGCAUGCGUGUAAUGCUUGGUUUUUGAUGACUUGUAGAUUUUUGCAAUAAGUAUGUGAGUUCUUUAUGACUAAUGUUGAGUCCAUGGAUUAUACGCACUCUCACCUUUCCAUCAUUAUUAGCCUGUUCGGUACCGUGCAUUGUUGGGGAACGUAGUAAUUUCAAAAAAAUUCCUACGCACACGCAAGAUCAUGCUGAUGCAAAGCAACGAGAGGGGAGAGUGUUGUCCACACACCCUCGUAGACCGUUAAGUGGAAGCGAUAUGACAACGCGGUUGAUGUAGUCGUACGUCUUCACGAUCGACCGAUCCUCAGUACCGAACGUACGGCCCCUCCGUGUUCAGCACACGUUCAGCUCGGUGACGUCCCGCGAACUCAUGAUCCAGUAGAGCUCGAGGGAGAGUUUCGUCAGCAUGACAGCGUGGUGACGAUGUUGAUGAAGCUACCGACACAGGGCUUCGCCUAAGCACCGCUACGAUAUGACCGAGGUGGAUUAUGGUGGAGGGGGCACCGCACACGGCUGGGAGAGAUCAAUGAUCAACUUGUGUGUUCUAGGGUGCCCCCUGCCCCCGUAUAUAAAGGAGCAAGGGGGAGGCCGGCCGGCCCUGUAGGGCGCGCCAGGAGGAGUCCUCCUCCUCCUACUAGGAGACUCCCCUCUUUCCUACUCCUACUAGGAGGGGGAAAGGAUGGGGGAGAAGGAGAAGGAAAGGGGGCGCACCCCCCUUCCUAGUCCAAUUCGGACCAGAGGGGGAGGAGGCGCGCGGCCUGCCCUGGCUGGCCCCUCUCUCUCUCUCCACUAGGGCCCAACAAGGCCCAUUAACCCCCGGGGGGUUCCGGUAACCCCUCCGGCACUCCGGUAAAAUCCCGAUUUCACCCGGAACUCUUCCGAUGCCCAAAUGUAGGCUUCCAAUAUAUCAAUAUUUAUGUCUCGACCAUUUCGAGACUCCUCGCCAUGUCCGUGAUCAUAUCCGGGACUCUGAACUACCUUCGGUACAUCAAAACAUAUAAACUCAUAAUACCGAUCGUCACAGAACUUUAAACGUGCGGACCCUACGGGUUCGAGAACUAUGUAGACAUGACCGAGACAUGUCUCCGGCCAAUAACCAAUAGCGGAACCUAGAUGCUCAUAUUGGUUCCUACAUAUUCUACGAAGAUCUUUAUCGGUCAAACCGCAAAACAACAUACGUUGUUCCCUUUGUCAUCAGUAUGUUACUUGCUCGAGAUUCGAUCGUCGGUAUCUCAAUACCUAGCUCAAUCUCGUUACCGGCAAGUCUCUUUACUCGUUCCGUAAUGCAUCAUACCGCAACUAACUCAUUAGUCACAUUGCUUGCAAGGCUUAUAGUGAUGUGCAUUACCGAGAGGGCCCAGAGAUACCUCUCCGACAAUCGGAGUGACAAAUCAUAUUCUUGAUCUAUGCCAACUCCACGAACACCAUCGGAGAUACCUGUAGAGAACCUUUAUAAUCACCCAGUUACGUUGUGAUGUUUGGUAGCACACAAAGUGUUCCUCCAGUAUUCAGAAGUUGCAUAAUCUCAUAGUGAUAGGAACAUGUAUAAGCCAUGAAGAAAGCAAUAGCAGUAAACUAAACGAUCAAGUGCCAAGCUAACGGAAUGGGUCAAGUCAAUCACAUCAUUCUCCUAAUGAUGUGAUCCCAUUAAUCAAAUGACAACUCAUGUCUAUGGUUAGGAAACUCAACCAUCUUUGAUCAACGAGCUAGUCAAGUAGAGGCAUACUAGUGACACUAUGUUUGUCUAUGUAUUCACACAUGUAUUAUGUCUCCGGUUAAUACAAUUCUAGCAUGAAUAAUAAACAUUUAUCAUGAUAUGACGAAAUAAAUAAUAACUUUAUUAUUGCCUCUAGGGCAUAUUUCCUUCAGUCUCCCACUUGCACUAGAGUCAAUAAUCUAGAUUACACAGUAAUGAUUCUAACACCCAUGGAGUCUUGGUGCUGAUCAUGUUUUGCUCGUGAGAGAGGCUUAGUCAACGGGUCUGCAACAUUCAGAUCCGUAUGUAUCUUGCAAAUCUCUAUGUCUCCCACCUGGACUUGAUCCCGGAUGGAAUUGAAGCGUCUCUUGAUGUGCUUGGUUCUCUUGUGAAAUCUGGAUUCCUUUGCCAAGGCAAUUGCACCAGUAUUGUCACAAAAGGUUUUCAUUGGAACCGAUGCACUAGGUAUGACACCUAGAUCGGAUAUGAACUCCUUCAUCCAGACUCCUUCAUUUGCUGCUUCCGAAGCAGCUAUGUACUCCGCUUCACACAUAGAUCCCGCCAUGACGCUUUGUUUAGAACUGUACCAACCGACAACUCCACCGUUCAAUGUAAACACGUAUUCGGUUUGCGAUUUAGAAUCGUCCGGAUCAGUGUCAAAGCUUGCAUCGAUGUAACCAUUUACGAUGAGCUCUUUGUCACCUCCAUAAAUGAGAAACAUAUCCUUAGUCCUUUUCAGGUAUUUCAGGAUGUUCUUGACCGCUGUCUAGUGAUCCACUUUGGUACCUCCCUGCUAAACUAAUAGCAAGGCACACAUCAUGUCUGGUACACAGCAUUCAAAUACAUGAUAGAGCCUAUGGCUGAAGCAUAGGGAACAAUUUUCAUUUUCUCUCUAUCUUCUGCAGUGGUCGGGCAUUGAGUCUGACUCAACUUCACACCUUGUAACACAGGCAAGAACCCUUUCUUUGCUUGAUCCAUUUUGAACUUCUUCAAAACUUUAUCAAGGUAUGUGCUUUGUGAAAUUCCAAUUAAGCGUCUUGAUCUAUCUCUAUAGAUCUUGAUGCCCAAUAUAUAAGCAGCUUCACCGAGGUCUUUCAUUGAAAAACUCUUAUUCAAGUAUCCUUUUAUGCUAUCCAGAAAUUCUAUAUCAUUUCCAAUCAGCAAUAUGUCAUCCACAUACAAUAUUAGAAAUGCUACAGAGCUCCCACUCACUUUCUUGUAAAUACAGGCUUCUCCAAAAGUCUGUAUAAAACCAUAUGCUUUGAUCACACUAUCAAAACGUUUAUUCCAACCCUGAGAGGCUUGCACCAGUCCAUAAAUGGAUCGCUGGAGCUUGCACACUUUGUUAGCUCCCAUUGGAUCGACAAAACCUUCCGGUUGCAUCAUAUACAACUCUUCUUCCAGAAAUCCAUUCAGGAAUGCAGUUUUGACAUCCAUUUGCCAAAUUUCAUAAUCAUAAAAUGCAGCAAUUGCUAACAUGAUUCAGACAGACUUAAGCAUCGCUACGGGUGAGAAAGUCUCAUAGUCAACCCCUUGAACUUGUCGAAAACCUUUCGCAACAAGUCGAGCUUUGUAGACAGUAACAUUACCGUCAGCGUCAGUCUUCUUCUUGAAGAUCCAUUUAUUCUCUAUGGCUUGCCGAUCAUCGGGCAAGUCAACCAAAGUCCACACUUUGUUCUCAUACAUGGAUCCCAUCUCAAAUUUCAUGGCCUCAAGCCAUUUUGCGGAAUCUGGGCUCACCAUCGCUUCUUCAUAGUUCGUAGGUUCGCCUUGGUCAAGUAACAUGACCUCCAGAAUAGGAUUACCGUACCACUCUGGUGUGGAUCUUACUCUGGUUGACCAACGAGGUUCGGUAGUAACUUGAUCUGAAGUUUCAUGAUCAACAUCAUUAGUUUCCUCACUAAUUGGUGUAGGUGUCGCAGGAACCGGUUUCUGUGAUGAACUACUUUCCAAUAAGGGAGCAGGUACAGUUACCUCAUCAAGUUCUACUUUCCUCCCACUCACUUGUUUCGAGAGAAACUCCUUCUCUAGAAAGGAUCCAUUUUUAGCAACAAAUGUCUUGCCUUCGGAUCUGUGAUAGAAGGUGUACCCAACAGUUUCCUUUGGGUAUCCUAUGAAGACACAUUUCUCCGAUUUGGGUUCACUCUUAUCAGGUUGAAGCUUUUUCACAUAAGCAUCGCAGCCCCAAACUUUAAGAAACGACAACUUUGGUUUCUUGCCAAACCACAGUUCAUAAGGCGUCGUCUCAACAGAUUUAGAUGGUGCCCUAUUUAACGUGAAUGCAGCCGUCUCUAAAGCAUAACCCCAAAACGAUAGCGGUAAAUCAGUAAGAGACAUCAUAGAUCGCACCAUAUCUAGUAAAGUACGAUUACGACGUCCGGACACACCAUUACGAUGUGGUGUUCCGGGUGGCGUGAGUUGUGAAACUAUUCCGCAUUGUUUCAAAUGUAGACCAAACUCGUAACUCAAAUAUUCUCCUCCACGAUCAGAUCGUAGAAACUUUAUUUUUCUUGUUACGAUGAUUUUCCACUUCACUCUGAAAUUCUUUGAACUUUUCAAAUGUUUCAGAUUUAUGUUUCAUUAAGUAGAUAUACCCAUAUCUGCUCAAAUCAUCUGUGAAGGUGCGAAAAUAACGAUACCCACCGCGAGCCUCAAUAUCAUCGGACCACAUACAUCAGUAUGUAUGAUUUCCAUCAAAUCCGUUGCUCGCUCCAUUGUUCCAGAGAACGGCAUUUUAGUCAUCUUGCCCAUGAGGCAUGGUUCGCAAGUACCAAGUGAUUCAUAAUCAAGUGAUUCCAGAAGUCCAUCAGUAUGGAGUUUCUUCAUGCGCUUUACACCAAUAUGACCCAAGCGGCAGUGCCACAAAUAAGUUGCACUAUCAUUAUCAACUCUGCAUCUUUUGGCUUCAACAUUAUGAAUAUGUGUAUCACUACUAUCGAGAUUCAUCACAAAUAGACCACUCUUCAAGGGUGCAUGACCAUAAAAGAUAUUACUCAUAUAAAUAGAACAACCAUUAUUCUCAGAUUUAAAUGAAUAACCGCUCGCAUCAAACAAGAUCCAGAUAUAAUGUUCAUGCUUAACGCUGGCACCAAAUAACAAUUAUUCAGGUCUAAAACUAAUCCCGAUGGUAGAUGUAGAGGUAGAGUGCCGACGGCAAUCACAUCGACUUUGGAACCAUUUCCCACGCACAUCGUCACCUCGUCCUUAGCCAGUCUUCGCUUAAUCCGUAGUCCCGUUUCGAGUUGCAAAUAUUAGCAACAGAACCAGUAUCAAAUACCCAGGUGCUACUGCGAGCUCUAGUAAGGUACACAUCAAUAACAUGUAUAUCACAUAUACCUUUGUUCACCUUGCCAUCCUUCUUAUCCGCCAAAUACUUGGGGCAGUUCCGCUUCCAAUGACCAGUCUGUUUGCAGUAGAAGCACAUAGUCUCAGGCUUAGGUCCAGACUUAGGUUUCUUCUCUUGAGCAGCAACUUGUUUGCCGUUCUUCUUGAAGUUCCCCUUCUUCUUCCCUUUACCCUUCUUCUUGAAACUGGUGGUCUUGUUGACCAUCAACAAUUGAUGCUCCUUUUUGAUUUCUACCUCCGCAGUCUUUAGCAUUGCGAAGAGCUCGGGAAUUGUCUUAUCCAUCCCUUGCAUAUUAUCGUUCAUCACGAAGCUCUUCUAGCUUGGUGGCAGUGAUUGAAGAAUUCUGUCAAUGACACUAUCAUCCGGAAGAUUAACUCCCAGUUGAAUCAAGUGAUUGUUAUACCCAGACAUUUUGAGUAUAUGUUCACUGACAGAACUAUUCUCCUCCAUCUUGCAGCUGUAGAACUUAUUGGAGACUUCAUAUCUCUCAAUCCGGGCAUUUGCUUGAAAUAUUAACUUCAAUUCCUGGAACAUCUCAUAUGCUCCAUGACGUUCAAAACGUCGUUGAAGUCCCGGUUCUAAGCCGUAAAGCAUGGCACACUGUACUAUCGAGUAGUCAUCAGCUUUGCUCUGCCAGACGUUCUUAACAUCGUCAGUUGCAUCUGCAGCAGGCCUGGCACCCAGCGGUGCUUCCAGGACGUAAUUCUUCUGUGCAGCAAUGAGGAUAAUCCUCAAGUUACGGACCCAGUCCGUGUAAUUGCUACCAUCAUCUUUCAACUUUGCUUUCUCAAGGAACGCAUUAAAAUUCAACGGAACAACAACACGGGCCAUCUAUCUACAACAACAUAGAUAAGCAAAAUACUAUCAGGUACUAAGUUCAUGAUAAAUUUAAGUUCAAUUAAUCAUAUUACUUAAGAACUCCCACUUAGAUAGAUAUCCCUCAGAUCAUCUAAGUGAUCACGUGAUCCAUAUCAACUAAACUGUAAUUGAUCAUCACGUGAGAUGGAGUAGUUUUCAAUCGUGAACAUCACUAUGUUGAUCAUAUCUACUAUAUGAUUCACGCUCGACCUUUCGGUCUCAGUGUUCCAAGGCCAUAUCUACAUAUGCUAGGCUCGUCAAGUUUAACCCGAGUAUUCUGCGUGUGCAAAACUGUCUUACACCCGUUGUAGAUGAACGUUGAGCUUAUCACACCCGAUCAUCACGUGGUGUCUCGGCACGACGAACUUUGGCAACGGUGCAUACUCAGGGAGAACACUUUUUACCUUGAAAUUUAGUGAGAGAUCAUCUUAUAAUGCUACCGUCAAACAAAGCAGAAUAAGAUGCCUAAGGGAUAAACAUCACAUGCAAUUAAUAUAAGUGAUAUGAUAUGGCCAUCAUCAUCUUGUGCCUUUGAUCUCCAUCUCCAAAGCACCGUCAUGAUCACCAUCGUCACCGGCGCGACACCUUGAUCUCCAUCGUAGCAUCGUUGUUGUCUCGCCAACUAUUGCUUCUACGACUAUCGCUACCGCUUAGUGAUAAAGUAAAGCAAUUACAGGGCGAUUGCAUUGCAUACAAUAAAGCGACAACCAUAUGGCUCCUGCCAGUUGCCGAUAACUCUGUUACAAAACAUGAUCAUCUCGUACAAUAAAUAUAGCAUCAUGUCUUGACCAUAUCACAUCUCAACAUGCCCUACAAAAACAAGUUAGACGUCCUCUACUUUGUUGUUGCAAAUUUUACGUGGCUGCUAUGGGCUGAGCAAGAACCGUUCUUACCUACGCAUCAAAACCACAACGAUAGUUCGUCGAGUUAGUGUUGUUUUAACCUUCUCAAGGACCGGGCGUAGUCACACUCGGUUCAACUAAAGUUGGAGAAACUGACACCCGCCAGCCACCUGUGUGCAAAGCACGUCGGUAGAACCAGUCUCGCGUAAGCGUACGUGUCGUGGAAUUGUCACGGCAGAUGUCCUUGAGCUAGGACUUAGUCGUGGAGCCAUCGCAACUAGGAAGCUUGAAGGGGUUAAGUGGGACAAGGAACACGAGGGUUUAUACUGGUUCGGCCCCUUACGGUGAAGGUAAAAGCCUACGUCCAGUUUGAGGUGGUAUUGAUUAGGGUUUCGAUGACCAGGGAGCUUAACUGCUAUGCCUGGCUCUCGAUGAAAUCUUUCUCGUCCCUAAACCGCUACCGGGUCGUCCCUUUAUAUAGGGAGGCUGAUGCCCAGCAGCUCUCAGAGUCCCGGCCGGCUCAUAAGAGUGUCCGGCUCGGACCCUCAACUAUUCUUGCCUUACACUACAAGUUCUACCAUAAUAAUGAUUGUAACUACGGGCCUUAAGCCAUACCCGGGUCUUAAGCCCAUCUUUGGCCCACCGUCUUCAAGCCUUGCGCCGGGCUUCUGACAAUGACCAUAUGAGUAACCCGGCCCCUCCUGGCGGGUGACUCUAAGGUCUAUAUCCUCAACAUUAGGCCCCAGAUUGAUUUGAGCCGGCUCAUGUCAAUCUUCAAUCUUUUCGACAGAAAUUCUCCGGCUUACAAUUAUGUGAAGGCCAUAACCCGGCGUGACGUCAUCCUCUGGACUCCGGGUAAUCCGCCAUGACGUCAUCUUCCAUUAAGCCCGUUUUUUACUCCACCAGAUCCGCAACGGAUCUUAUCUUUACUGCCAUCCCGAAAAUCGAGGCGUUUCGUGGGGAGAUAACCACGCCGCGGUCUCCUCGUUUCUCGCGCCCACUUAUGAGCUCGCCCUUAUAAAUAGGCCGGUCCGACGGGCCUUUCUCACUCUCCUUCCUCUGUCGUCUCCUUCCUCUCAUUGUUCCCGUGCUGCUCGAGCUCCGCCGCCGUCGCCGCCGCGGGUCUUCUCGUCGUCACCAGCUCAGGCCGCUACAUCACCCUGAUUUGACCAGAGAAAACGCGACGACCUCCGCGACUCCCCAGCCCCUGUAAGUCCUGGCUGCCCUAUAGAACAGAUCUGCAGUAGGGUUUGAGCAGUUCGUCCGUGUUCUUCGCCGUCGCCCACGACCCCUUGGUAGUUUUCAUUUUUACUGCCCGUUUUUGAUCUUAGCCUUGUAUAGAACCAAUGCGGUAACUGUUUAGCACCCAUUUCACAUGCAAGUAGCCCUCUUUUUACCGCAUAAGAUCCUUGUUCAAGCCCAAGAACUUCUCCUGCAUCUGUUUUUAGGUCUAGAAACUUUCUUUUCGACCGAUUAUUUUGAUCCAAAUUAUUUACUGCCAUGUGUGAAACCUGUUUUCACCACACUUAGUAAAAAACUGCACUUGUUGAGUCAUGGCGGUUUACAAUUCCGGUUUAAAGAGACCACGCGCCGUAGGCCCUCCCGGCUCAAAAGAGAUCAUGCGCCAUAGAAUUUUCCGGCUCUUCUGUGAUAAGGCCGUAGACAAUCGAAUUACUCUUAAUACCUCGGGCGGCUUAAAUAACCCGGUGCACUUAGAUAUAUGCCAUUAGUCCCCUUCAUAAGCCGCCACCUUAACAUUGAACUGUAAAUUUCCUCCGGCUUAUAAUUAAACCGGACGUUUCCUUUUAUCAUAGGCUGCCGACUUUCAUCAUGCCUCCCAAAGCUCCUAAAGCCUCCAUCACUUGCAAUUGGAUGAGGUCCAAUGUCACCAAUGAGACCUUAGCAGAUUUUGUCAAGUCAGGCUAUCUGCCCAAGAAGGACGUCAUGUCCUACCGUGCCCCCGACCCAUCAGAGGAGAGACCACAGCCAAGGGACGGGGAGGUGGUCAUUUUUGCGGAUCACAUGAGCCGGGGCUUCGCACCGCCCGGCUCAAAGUUUUUUAGAGACGUGCUGAACUUCUUUGACCUGCGGCCACAAGAUAUUGGACCCAACUCGGUGUCCAACAUAUGCAAUUUCCAAGUGUUCUGCGAGGUUUACCUUGGAGAAGAGCCCAAUCUGCUGCUCUUCAGAGAGCUUUUCUAUUUAAACCGCCAGAACGAGUGCGCCAACGGGCCAAGUUUGGAGCUAGGCGGCAUCUCCAUUCAGCGGCGGAGGGACUGCCUUUUCCCUUACGCAGAGCCGCCAAGCCACCCCAAAGACUGGAAUCUGACGUGGUUUUACUGCCAAGACAUGUCGCCGGCUGAUGAGAGUCCGUUGCCCGGCUUUCGCCCCUCGCGUCUGGAGCCGACUCACCCACUGUCAGACAAGCUGACUCAAGCGGAGCGCCAACCUCUGCUCCCCACCAUCAACAAGAUCAAGGCUCUCCUGGGCAAUGGUCUCAACGGAAUCGAUCUGGUCCGGGUCUGGAUCUCCUGGUGGGUGAUCCCAUUGAGCCGCCGCCCCGGCUUAAUGUGCGAGUACACGGGCUGAAAGGAUGACCCUCAGAGACACAGCCGCAACGAUCUUCCUGAAGACGUUGCAGAGGAUAUGACCAAGGCUCUCUUGAACGAGAGCCUGGCAGACUGCGGGAGGACCGGGUUAGCCCCCUUCUGCAAGACCAACCCAGCCCCAGCGGUAAGCCGCUGAUCUGAACAUUUUAUCUUCUUCUGUAUAUAACUUUCAUCUGAAUCGUUUUAAGAAUUCAUCAUUGUAUUUUUCAGGCUGAUGACAAGUUCUGGCGGGUCAAAUAUGACCAUGAGGCGGCCAAGAAGGCCAGAAAGGCGAAGAAAGCCGCCAAGAAAGCCGCUCCCCAUAAGAAGGGAAGUAGGCCAACUGCUUCAGAGCUGAUGCAAUUAAGCGACAGCUCCAAGUCAGAGGUAACCCCUGAGCCUGUAAGUCCUUGUUGUAUCUGUUGUUUAUUUCUGUCCGCCUUACCAAUAUUUGUUCAUCAAUAGGACGACACCGGAGCAAGUAACCCGGUGGUUGAAGAGGUAACAAUACUUUCCUCCGACUCGGAGCCCUUACCAAGGCUGAAAAUCCGAAGGGUAACCCGAAAAGUAAGCUUUUCACAUCCUUUAGCUUAUCAAGACCCUCAAUUUAUUUUGAAGCGACAGGUUCAUGAGAGCCGGCGGCACACCCGGACCGACAAAAACACUGACCUCUCCUCCGGGUUACCUGACGCAUCAAGGAAACGCCGGACCGAGGUGAUCUCAAAAUUGUACCCUUUUCAUCCUUUGGCAGGUGUUGUACGUCAACCGCUCAACUCUUCUGACUCAAAUUAUCAGGAAACUUCCCCCUCUUCUGGCGACUCUAUGCAGUCAAGCUUGCCGGCUUUCAAGACCGUGCCCGGGUAAUGAUAACCAUCUCAUGUUGUACUUUGUCUUUACUUACACUAUUGUGCUUAACUUUUCUGUCUUUCCAGUGCCCAAGCCAAGCUCACCAAGAGGGCGAAGAAGUCCAAGCCGGUCGAUGAGCCGGACUUGCCUGAGCCAGAGGCAGCCGCUCAAGAACCGCUAGCUGCCUCUGCUCCUGAGGCCGCUGCUCCAACCAACAAGCCCGCAACAGAAGCUUCUGUUAACCCGGAGGCCUCCAGCUCGGCUCAACCAGCAGAUGACCCGGACGUGGUAAUCACCCGGACGGAGUUUGUUGAGCCGGGGAGACCUACCGCGCUGGCCAAGUGCUCCACCAAAGGGGAGCUGCUAGAGUCCCGCCGGGUUAAUCUGGACCUCACCGACUACUCCAAUUUGAACAUUGGAGAGAUCGUCUCCGGCUUCGUCAGCCAAGUGCACAAGAGCCGGGACACAGAGAUUGCCAUGGUGAACCAGAUCCAGCAGAAAUCUGAGGUAUUAUUCUUCUGUCCUCUUACUUACUGUAUAGUUACCUUUACCAUGCUAGCCCCCAAGUCAACGACUUAUGACUGAAUAUGUUGUAGACUUAAGUUCCGGCUUACUCAAUUGAAUCGGCAAUUUGUAGAUAGAAACGUUCAAUAUGCAUUAGCCCCCAAGUGCCAAGUGUCUUUGCUUGGAAAGUGCUUGGGACUUUAAAACUGUUCAUCCUUUAACCCGAAAAUUAUGCAUACAGGCUGCUUGUAAAAAGUUUGAAGCUGACAUCUCCGAUCUGAAGAACCGACUGAGGAUGCAAGAAAUGGAGACCCGGAAGGCGAAUGCCAAAUUUGUGUCCAGCAUCGCCGCGCAAGAAAAGCUGAAGACGGAGUUUGACGCUGAACGGAAGGCUUGGGCCGAAGAAAAGGCCGCGCUGGUGAACCGGGCUGAACAGGCGGAGAAGGCUCUCUCCGAGAAGACCGCCGAACUCUCCGGCUUAAAGCGCCAAGUGUCCCAAAUGGCUACCGCAAUCUUCGGUAAGUCAUCUCACCGGCUUUCAUCAAGUUUAGAAUCUUUAUAUCUCAUAACUCAUCCUUGCCGACGGCUUAUCUUAUUCUGUUAAACAGGUUCCAGAAGCACCAACCUCAACCAGAGCGUGGUAACCAAGCUGAAGGCUGUGUACACCCUGGUGGAGCAACUCUACACCGGGUCACAGCGUGCCUUGGCUGUGGUGGCCCUAUCCAAUGAGGUGUCGACUCACCUGGCGGAAGUUCUUCGCCGGCUCGCCGUUCUGCCUCAAGGUAUCCAAGAGCUGCGACGGGCCUCUGCAAGAGCCGGAGCGAUCGCCGCGCUGAGCCGGGCCAAGGCGUUCCUUCCAGAGUUAGACCCGGCGGACAUCGCCCUCGGCUAUCCAAGUUUGAAGGAAGACGGCACCGCCUUCGAUCAGAAGGACUUCGCAGCUUGCGUGAAGGCUGUACGCCCGGUGGCCACUCUGAUUAGCAAUGAUACAGAUCUGACUAAGUAUCAGCCGGGUUACGAUGCAGAAAAUCAGAGGAUCCCCACUCCGUGCUAUGAAGCCCUUAGCUUAAUCCCGCCGGCUCGUCAGCACACCCUCGCCCCGGAGAUUGACCCGGCCGGGUUAAUUGACGAGGAAGCUCAAUUCGAUGCUCUCAGCGGCAUCGACUGGAAGUCAUCAACUUUCCAGGUCUUGGGAACAACCGGAGGAGAAGAGAGGGACGAGCUGGAAACUUCAACCCAGCAAGCGUCCUAAUUCUGCUGGCGGUUUAUCAAACAAUGCCUCACCCUUUUAGACUCAACGAGUCUUGUAAUAUAGUAGGACCAACACUUUAUCUUUGCUGUGCCAUCGUGCACGCCUUGAAUGCUUGAAGUCUAUUGAAGUUGUCUCCUUUAUAUGUCUCCGGGUCAUAAUUGAUCAUUCAUUUUCCUUAAGCUCAAAAUAAUUGCCUUUAACUAUCCUGCAUAAAAGGACAAAUCACAAGUCUCUAGGCGGCUUACCGCACUGAGAAUCAUAUGUUUUAGAUAUAUAACCCGGAAUAUGCAUCAAAAAAGACUGGUCCUCAAUUAUAUCCUUAGUACAGCCGUAAUAACACACUUAGUGGCCUGUAAGCAUACUUCCGGUUUAGCUAACUCGGGUAAUAAGGUUGGUACCUCAAUUCCGGUUUACCUGUCUUAAUGACACCCAUUGUGUUCAACUAACACUGUAAAUCAAGGUUAAGCCGGCAAAGUGAGACCCGGCCGUGCACACUUGACAUGGCCAGAAGAACUCGCUAUAAAUUAGAAAACUUAGGGGCUUCCAGUUCGAAUACGACCAGAAACCCGGCCCAAAGGGGUUAUGCUAGGAUUCGAAUACGAUCAUAUAGCCCCCAGUGGGUGUGGCGAUGCCAAUCAAGAGGGUAUCGACAGCUAUGUUCUCUUUGGUUCGAAUACGACCCAUGUUUGAACAGGAAGCCCCCAAGUGAUUUUAAGAAUUGUUUAACGACGCUGAUUCGAAUACGAUCCACGUCGGUUCCCAAAGGGGUUAAACUAAGAUUCAAAUAUGAUCAAAGAAAACUCCCCAAUGAGCUCGGCACUUUGCCAAUCAAAUGGGUAUCGACAGCUAUGUUCUCUUUGGUUCGAAUAAGCCCCCAAGUGAUCUUAUCGCUUACGGCUAGAUUCGAAUACGAUCAUAAGCCGGAUCCUCCUUGAAGUUAUCAUGUAAUCUUGCAAUGAAAACAACACGCGCAUAUUUGGAGGAGAAAAAAGGAUAGAGGUCCUGCUUUAUUGCUUAUCAUAAUAUAUACAUGACUGAGAGAAAUAUGUACAUUUAUGAGAGCCGGUGGCUCAAGUGUAGUAAGGCCGAAGCUGAGCUAUGUUCCACGUCCGACGGGUCUCUUCCUCCGACUUACGUGAAUCUUUGUGCUCCCGAAUGUCAAUGAGGUAAUAUGACCCGUUGUGCAAAUUCUUGCUGACCACAAAGGGCCCUUCCCAAGGCGGGGAUAGCUUGUGCGCAUCUGUUUGAUCUUGGAUGAGCCGGAGCACGAGAUCACCUUCCUGGAAGACCCGGGAUUUAACCCGGCGACUAUGAUAACGGUGCAGGUCUUGUUGGUAAAUCGCUGAGCGAGCUGCUGCCACAUCACGCUGUUCGUCCAACAAGUCAAGAGUAUCUUGGCGCGCCUGUUCAUUGUCCGUCUCAACAUAAGCCGCCACUCGAGGUGAGUCAUGAUGGAUGUCACUGGGGAGGACUGCUUCUGCCCCAUAAACCAUGAAGAAAGGCGUGAAACCUGUAGACCUGUUAGGAGUAGUGUUGAUGCUCCAUAACACGGAGGGCAACUCCUCCACCCAACAACCCGGCGUCCAUUGCAAAGGAACCAAAACCCGAGGCUUGAUGCCCUUCAGAAUCUCCUGAUUAGCUCUCUCAGCUUGACCAUUGGAUUGAGGAUGAGCCACUGAGGAAACAUCAAGUCGGAUAUGCUCUCGUUGACAAAACUCUUCCAUGGCGCCUUUGGAUAGAUUGGUGCCAUUGUCAGUUAUAAUGCUGUGCGGAAAGCCAAAGCGAAAGAUCACCUUUUUCAUAAACUGAACUGUCGUGGCUGCAUCACACUUGCUAACUGGCUCUGCUUCUACCCACUUGGUAAAUUUGUCAACUGCCACCAAAAGGUGGGUCUUCUUGUCCUUGGAUCUUUUGAAAGGCCCAACCAUAUCAAGCCCCCAGACCGCAAAGGGCCAAGUAAUUGGGAUCAUCCUCAGCUCCUGAGCCGGCACAUGAGCCCGUCGCGAGAACCUUUGGCAACCAUCACAGUUACUAACCAAGUCCUCCGCAUCAGCAUGAGCCAUCAGCCAAUAAAAACCAUGGCGAAAAGCCUUGGCCUCAAGAGACUUUGAACCGGCGUGAUGGCCACAAUCCCCUUCAUGAAUCUCACGCAAGAUCUCUUGACCUUCCUCAGGGGAGACACAAUGCUGAAAUGCUCCUGUAACACUGCGGUGAUGCAACUCGCCAUUGAUGACAAUCAUUGACUUAGCCCGCCGGGUUAUUUGUCUGGCCAAAGUUUCAUCCUCAGGCAACUCACCCCGGGUCAUAUAAGCCAAAUAGGGCAUUGUCCAGUCCGGUAUGAUGUGGAGAGCCGCCACCAGUCGUGCCUCCGGGUCAGGGACAGCCAAGUCUUCCUCUGUAGGCAGCUUAACAGAAGGAUUAUACAGGACAUCCAGGAAAGUAUUAGGCGGCACCGGCUUUCGCUGAGAGCCGAGCCGGCUUAGAGCAUCAGCCGCCUCGUUCUUCCUGCGAUCAAUGUGCUCUACUUGGUAGCCCUGAAAGUGCCCAGCAAUGGCAUCAACUUCGCGGCGAUAAGCCGCCAUGAGAGGGUCCUUAGAGUCCCACUUGCCUGAUACUUGUUGAGCCACCAAGUCUGAGUCACCGAAACACCUUACCCGGCUCAAGCUCAUCUCCUUAGCCAUCCGAAGACCGUGGAGCAAGGCCUCGUACUCAGCCGCGUUGUUGGUACAAGGAAACAUCAAUUGUAGCACAUAAUGGAACUUAUCACCCUUAGGCGAAGCCAAUACAACUCCAGCCCCCGAGCCCUCCAACUUCCUGGACCCAUCAAAGUGAAUAGUCCAAUAUGUGUUAUCCGGCUUUUGCUCGGGCACUUGUGACUCUGUCCAAUCAUUGAUGAAAUCCACCAAGGCCUGAGAUUUAACAGCAGUGCAUGGCACAUACUUCAGACCAUGGGGUCCGAGCUCUAUAGCCCACUUAGCCACUCUCCCUGUGGCCUCUCUGUUUUGAAUGAUAUCACCAAGAGGGGCAGAACUGACCACAGUGAUAGGAUGACCCUGGAAAUAAUGCUUGAGCUUCCGGAGUUGCCAUGAACACACCAUAAACAAGCUUCUGCCAAUGUGGAUACCGCUGUUUGGACUCGAUAAGCACUUCGCUGACAUAAUAAACCGGCCGCUAAACUGGAUGCUCCUUACCCUCUUCCUUGCGCUCCACCACCACAGCCACACUGACGGCUCAUGUGUUCGUCGCCACGUACAGUAAUAAGGGCUCCUUAUCAACCGGAGCAGCAAGGACUGGGGGCUCUGCCAGCUGCUUCUUCAAAUCCUCAAAAGCGGUAUUAGCUGCAUCAUUCCAGACAAAGUUAUCAGUUUUCUUCAUCAACUGAUAUAAUGGCAUGGCCUUCUCACCCAAACGGCUUAUAAACCGGCUUAAAGCAGCGAUGUGACCCACCAAGCGCUGAACGUCAUUUAUACACGCCGGCUUAGCCAGGGAGGUGAUGGCCUUGAUCUUCUCCGGGUUAGCUUCAAUGCCUCUGUCAGAAACCAAAAAACCCAAGAGUUUGCCUGCAGGAACACCAAAAACACACUUGGCCGGGUUAAGCAUCAUCUUGUAGACCCGGAGAUUAUCAAAGGUUUCCCUUAAAUCGUCUAUCAGGGUUUCCUCCUUUAUGGACUUAACCACAAUAUCGUCCACAUAAGCAUGAACAUUGCGUCCAAUCUGGUUAUGAAGACAGUUCUGUACACAACGCUGAUAAGUCGCCUGUGCACACUUGAGUCCAAAGGGCAUAGACACAUAGCAGAAGGCUCCAAAGGGAGUAAUGAACGCCGUCUUCUCCUGGUCCUUAACUGCCAUUUUAAUCUGAUGAUAUCCGGAAUAAGCAUCCAAGAAACUUAAGCGCGCACAACCUGCCGUAGCAUCAAUAAUUUGAUCAAUACGGGGAAGGGCAAAAGGAUCAGCCGGACACGCCUUGUUUAAGUCCGUGUAGUCCACACACAUCCGCCAAGUGUCGUUCUUCUUGAGUACGAGCACCGGGUUAGCUAACCACUCUGGGUGAAAGACUUCAACAAUAAACCCGGCCGCCAAGAGCCGGGCCACCUCUUUACCAAUAGCUUUCCGCCUUUCUUCAUUAAACCGCCGAAGGAACGGCCUGACCGGCUUAAAUUUCGGAUCAACAUUGAGAGUGUGCUCAGCGAGUUCUCUAGGUACACCUGGCAUGUCAGAAGGUUUCCAUGCGAAGAUGUCCCUAUUCUCACGGAUGAACUCGAUGAGCGCGCUUUCCUAUUUUGGAUCCAGAUUGGCACUGAUGCUAAACUACUGAGAUGAAUCUCCUGGAACAAAAUCAACAAGCUUAGUUUCAUCAGCCGACUUAAAUUUCAUCGCCCGCUCAUUUUCCGUAGUCUGCUUUUUCAGAGAGGUCAUAUCUGUUGGGUCAACAUUGUCUUUGUAAAACUUCAACUCCUCUGUUGCACAAACAGAUUCUGCAUAAGCUGCAUCGCCUUCCUCACACUCCAGAGCCACCCUCCAGCUGCCGUGAACCGUAAUGGUCCCAUUGUGACCCGGCAUCUUGACCUGUAAGUACACAUAACACGGCCGUGCCAUGAACUUGGCGUAAGUCGGCCGCCCAAAUAUGGCAUGGUACGGACUUCUUAUCUUAACCACCUCAAAGGUCAAUUUUUUCACCCUGUAGUUGUUCUCAUCUCCAAAGGCCACUUCCAACUCGAUCUUGCCGACUGGGUAAGCCGACUUACCAGGUACCACACCAUGGAAAAUAGUGUUUGAUUGGCUGAGAUUCUUAUCAAUCAACCCCAUACGACGAAAUGUCUCAUAAUAGAGGAUGUUGAUGCUGCUGCCACCAUCCAUGAGCACCUUAGUGAACUUAUAUCCUCCCACCUGAGGAGCCACUACCAGGGCCAAGUGACCCGGAUUAUCCACCCGGGGAGGGUGAUCCUCCCUACUCCACACUAUAGGCUGCUCAGACCACCGCAAGUAGCGUGGAACCGCCGGCUCAACAGCAUUCACAGCCCUCUUAUGAAGCUUCUGAUCUCGCUUGCACAGACUGGUGGUAAACACAUGAUAUUGUCCACCGCUAAGCUGCUUUGGAUUGGUCUAAUAACCCCCCUGCUGCUGUUGAUGACCCUGGCCAGACUGCUGAUUAAAGCCCCCUUAACCGUUCUGGGGAUUAGAAUUUGAGCCACCGCCCGGGCCAUGAAAGCCGCCGGCGCCUGAGCCGCCGCCCGGGCCAUUGUAAUUCUUAAAGGCCUUCAUGAUUGCACAAUCCUUCCAUAGAUGAGUCGCUGGCUUCUCUCUAGAGCCAUGCCUUGGACAAGGCUCAUUCAACAGUUGCUCCAGCGUCGGGCCUGACCCGCCGCCUCGGGGAGGGGGCCUCCCCUUGCGUCGCUGGUUAUUACCUUGUGAGCUGGCGUUGGCUGCAAACUCUAGGCUGCCAUCGGCCUUGCGCUUGCCCCCUCCUUGAUUUCCCGGGUUAUGCUGAGGACCCUUGCCAUUGCCGUUCUUCUUUCCCUUCCCUGUCCUUUCAUCAUCUGAAGGGGGAUCCUUGGUACCAUCAGAAUCGGCGUACUUGACAAGAGCCGCCAUUAGUGUACCCAUAUCAUUGCAGUCGCGCUUAAGCCGCCCGAGUUUCAUCUUCAGGGGCACGAAAUGACAAUUCUGUUCCAACAUUAAGACUGCAGAGCCGGCAUCCAUCUUAUCUGAUGAAUGUAUGAUCUCCUUGACCCGGCGAACCCAAUGCGUCGUGGAUUCACCCUCCUGCUGCUUACAGUUAGUCAAAUCCACAAUUGACAUAGACUACCUACAGGUAUCCUUGAAGUUUUGGAUGAACCGGGCUUUCAGCUCAGCCCAAGACCCGAUGGAAUUCGGUGGUAGCCCUUUCAACCAAGUGCGGGCAGUCCCAUCCAACAUCAUGGUGAAGUACUUGGCCAUUGCCGCCUCACUGACCUCCAGUAGUUCCAUGGCCAUCUCGUAACUCUCGAUCCAGGCUGCGGGUUGUAAGUCAGCCGUGUAAUUGGGCACCUUCCUAGGGCAUUUGAAGUCCUUGGGUAGACGUUCAUUGCGGAUAGCUGGCACUAAGCAAGGGACACCCCCAGUCCUGGUAGGGAUACCCACAUCGACGGACGUCGUCGGAUAAGCCGGGGGAGUCUGGUAAGCCGUCAACUGAGGCACCUGCUCCGCCUCUUGCCGCGCUCUGUCUUGGUCUGCUGCGUGAAAGGCUCCAUUAUGAGCCGGGCCAUGGCCAGGGGGCGGGUCAUGGCGUCGGACGUUACUUGAGCCGGUCACUGAGACCAUGUGUCUGCUGUAACUCGGGCUCCGGCCUGGACGAGGGGUCGAGUGGAUCCUGUCCCGGCUGUAGGAGUACGCCUCUUGCUGCGCCAGUUCUGUCUGAAGGAGUUCCCUGACCCGGCGGGUUUCAAUAGCCGUCGGAGAGUCGCCGUCGACUGGGAGAGCCGCCAGCCGUGCUGCCGCGGCGACCAUGUUCUCCAGCGGGUUAUUAUAAUGACCCGGUGGUAUUGGCACGUACUGAGGCGGGGCAGGGGGCACCUGGGGAGGCCCCAUCACUUGUGGCUGAAUAGGGGUCCCAGACCCGGGCACUAUGACCCCUGGCGGGUUACUAGACCCUGCACCUGGCGUGUUGAAGAGGUUGCGUGGAUCGUAAGCCGGAGGGAGUCGAGAUUGGGCCUUUUGAUGCCUCCUUCUCAGGACCUCAUUGGACGCGUUUUGAUCCAUCGUGAGCCGGAAGGACUGCGCUUGAAUCAACUGGGUUUGGGCAUCGAGAGCCGCCCUCUCCGCAGCCAUCCUGAUCCCUUCUGCUGCCAGAUCCUCCUUAGCUUUCACUAGAUCCAAUUUUAACUGUGCCACCUCCGCAUCAUGCUGAGCUUGAUCCGCCGGGUCAACCGUGGCGGUUAACAGGGCCGUCAUCUUGUCCGUGAGAUCCAUUAGCACCUGAGCCGGCGAAGGCACCGGGUUUCCCGCUCCAGCAGCAGGGUUCUGAACAGGCUGCGCACCGGCCAUGAAGAUUCCAACCCGGCUUGGCGGCUCAAACAGGUCCGGAAUACUGUCACCAUCGGAACAACCCAUGAGCCUGCCAUCUUGAAGUUGAUACAACGAGUUUGACUCAUCGGUGGACGACUCGCCGUCAGAGCCGGCGGCCGUCUCAUCACCAGAUCCAGAUUGAUCAGAGAGCCCUCCAUGGAUACAUCCCACAAAAGCAUGCCUUACGGCAGGCCGGGCCCGGGCGGGUCGUGCACGCUGAGCUGUCUCGAUGAGAUCGGCGCAGAGAUCCGGCUCAGGGCCCGGCUCACCAAUCUUGCCAAUGAAAACAUGAAUUCCGCCGAAGGGGACCCGGUACCCGUACUCAAUUGAGCCGGCGUCGGGGCCCCAGUUUGCAUCGUCGAUGUAGAGCUUGCCGCGACGACUCUUGGUCAUCCGGCCCACAGCGUAUCCCUUGAGCCCUUCGAAGCUGCCCUUCAAGAACUCAAAUCCACCAUGCGCUGGCCCCACGGUGGGCGCCAACUAUCGUGGAAUUGUCACGGCAGAUGUCCUCGAGCUAGGACUUAGUCGUGGAGCCAUCGCAACUAGGAAGCUUGAAGGGGUUAAGUGGGACAAGGAACACUAGGGUUUAUACUGGUUCGGCCCCUUACGGUGAAGGUAAAAGCCUACAUCCAGUUUGAGGUGGUAUUGAUUAGGGUUUCGAUGACCAGGGAGCUUAACUGCUAUGCCUGGCUCUCGAUGAAAUCUUUCUCGUCCCUAAACCGCUGCCGGGUCGUCCCUUUAUAUAGGGAGGCUGACGCCCAGCAGCUCUCAGAGUCCCGGUCGGCUCAUAAGAGUGUCCGGCUCGGACUCUCAACUAUUCUUGCCUUACACUACAAGUUCUACCAUAAUAAUGAUUGUAACUAUGGGCCUUAAGCCAUACCCGGGUCUUAAGCCCAUCUUUGGCCCACCGUCUUCAAGCUUAGCGCCGGGCUUCUGACAAUGACCAUAUGAGUAACCCGACCCCUCCUGGCGGGUGACUCUAAGGUCUAUAUCCUCAACAGUACGCGUAAUGUCGGUCCGGGCCGCUUCAUCCAACAAUACCGCCGAACCAAAGUAUGACAUGAUGGUAAGCAGUAUGACUUGUAUCGCCCACAACUCACUUGUGUUCUACUCGUGCAUAUAACAUCUACGCAAUAACCUGGCUCGGAUGCCACUGUUUGGGGAACGUAGUAAUUUCAAAAAAUAUUCCUGCGCACACGCAAGAUCAUGGUGAUGCAAAGCAAUGAGAGGGGAGACUGUCGUCCACGUACCCUCGUAGACCAUUAAGCGGAAGCGUUGUGACAAUGCGGUUGAUGUACUCGUACGUCUUCACGAUCGACCGAUCCUCAGUACCGAACGUACGGCACCUCCGCGUUCAGCACACGUUCAGCUUGGUGACGUCCCGCGAACUCAUGAUCCAGUAGAGCUCGAGGGAGAGUUUCGUCAGCAAGAUGGCGUGGUGACGAUGUUGAUGAAGCUACCGACGCAAGGCUUCGCCUAAGCACCGCUACGAUAUGACCGAGGUGGAUUAUGGUGGAGGGGGGCGCCGCACACGGCUGGGAGAGAUCAAUGAUCAACUUGUGUUUUCUAGGGUGGCCCCCUGCCCCCGUAUAUAAAGGAGCAAGGGGGGAGGCCAGCCGACCCUGUAGGGCGCGCCAGGAGGAGGAGUCCUCCUCCUAGUAGGAGUAGGACUCCCCUCUUUCCUACUCCUACUAGGAGGGGGAAAGGAAGGGGGAGAAGGAGAAGGAAAGGGGGGCGCCGCCCCCCCCCCUUCCUAGUCCAAUUCAGACCUGUUGGGGGAAAACGACACCUAUGGGAUCACAAGAAUCCCUACUACGGUUGCCGGGGUGCAGGGUUGCAAGAAGAGCAGGAUCAGUAGCCAGCACAAGGAGCGUUUACCCAGGUUCGGGCCGCGAGGAUGCGUAAAACCCUAGUCCUGCUUUGGUGGGUGUAUUUUAGAGAGUUCUUGAGGUCUCGAACUAGCUGUGGUGAGUGCGUGGUUCCAAAGAGCCGAAUCCUUUUCCAGUAUGCCAUGGGCCUCCUUUUAUAGUCGAAAGGGGCUGCCACAGUGGCACACAUGAGGUGGAAAGGCGCACAGUGCCCUGAGCUUAUCGCUCGUAUUACAGGACAAGAUGCAUUUAAUGCGUAGCUUAGGUGUCCCCCUGCUUUAUCGGGGACGGGGGCGAGGCCCGUCCCAUCCGUCGCCGCUCCUCCUCGCUUCGACACGCGCCUUGGCCAGCAAUGCAUGCGUCGCCAUGUAGGCAGGCAGGCAGCUGAGGUGGCGCGGUGGUGGAGCCUUCACGAAGAUCUGCAUGCCGCCAUGCAGGCGCUCGAUGAGUUGGCCUGGGAGCUGCAUGUUGCCACGCAGGUGCCCGCCCAGCUGGUUGGGCUGGCAGCUGCAUGUGAACGGCGGUGGAAGCUUGGUUGGCAUGGGCCUGGUGGUGGCCCCGCUGGCGUCCUUGGUGAGGGCCUUGCCGGGUGGCCCGGCAAGGGCCUUGCCGUGGCGCGCUGUCGUCCCCGGCAAGGGCCUUGCCGGGGGUCUGGUGGCCUUCCUAGGCAAGGAUCUUGCCGAAGGUCGUCAUCUUCUAAUCCUCAUCUGAUCUUGAAUAUGUCUUCACAAAGAUCUGCAUGCCACCACAGAGGUGCCUUCCCGAGCCCUGGCCCCACAUGGAUGAUGGCGUUGGGGACCGUAGGCUCAAGGGUGGCUCGCUCUGUUGGUGUGGGGCUUCCCACGACCCACGUGAUUGGCGUGGCGUGGAGGGGUGUGCGUGACGUGGGCGGCAUGCGUGGGGCGGUUUCCACAUGCAUGCGUCACAUCGCAGUAAAGAGGCGGCUCACGCCUUCCCCGUAAAAAGACGGAGGCGUGGAGGCGCGGCUCAUUUACUGAACGGGGCCGGGUCAUGGUCUUCAAGGCGUCCACUCCCCACGAUCACGGGGUGGGGAGAGGUCGCUUUACCCGUCCCCUCAGUUCUGCACGUCUGCCACGCGUCCUUCAUGCGCCUGGGGUGGCAAGCGGUGGAGGCGGGAAACCGGGCCAUCGCUGGUUGGGGCAGCGGGUCGGUCCUGAUUCCCUGCGCCUCCGGUGGCUGGAUUGGCCGAGCGGGGCCGCCGAGCCCCGACCCCACCCCUUUAUAAAGAGGGGGAAGGGGGGAUGGCGUCCCGCACUCUUCUGUCAUCUAUCUCCUCUUGCUUCUGCUUCUUCCUUUCACUCGCCAUGGAGAAAGGGAAUCCGGGUCCCUCGACGGUGGUGGCAUGGGUCACCGCCCGACAGCGCGUCCCUCCUCCUCCUGAGCCCACGGUGGUGGAACCGGCCGCGAGGGGAAGGGGGAGGGGGCGAGGCCGGGGCAGAGGUCGUAGUGCUCGGGGAAGAGGAGGACGGGGCGGUGCGCCGGCUUUGCCCCCGCCAAUGGUGCCUUUCCCGAUGGAAGGCCAUGUUGGAGACCAGCCUCGUGAGUUCUUCAUUAGGCUGCGCCGGCCUCCGCGUCGCCGUCUCCGUCUUCCCGCCCUGUUCGCUCGGGAGAUGGAGCGUGGCCGGCCCCAAUCCCUCAGAUUGCACAUGAGGGGUUGUGGGAAUGGGGGCACGCGGGUCGACGUCGACUUCCCAGCUCCUCGGGUCAUGUACCUCCGUCGUGGGUGGAAGACGUUCGCUCGCAUCCACAGCCUGACGGCGGGGCUCGUCCUCUACUUCAAAUUGAUGGAGGACGGCCUGCUCUCCGUCAAGGUCUUCGGAGACUUCGGGACUCGCUUGAAGUGCUGCGUGGGGAGCUCCUCUGAUGGAGAUUCCGACGAUGGAAGCUCUUCCUCGAGCAAAAGUGAUGAGGAGGACAGCGGGGCAGAUGACGGGGAUGAGUCCGACUAGGCGUCGGACACCUCGCGCCUGGGCGGGUGCGGCAGCAGCAGCAUCUGCACCUGGCCGCUCCUCCUGUUUUGCCGGGGGUGGGGCCAGCUCCUUGAACUUCUCGGGGCCGUUUCCUUGGGUGGCUGGCGUCGGGAGGCUGCGGAAGAGGAAGAGGGCGGGCGGCAAGGCCGUCAACUCGGAGUACGCGGGCCCGACGCCUUCGUCGUGUACUGCCGGUCCUGCCGCCUCGUCUUCCAGCUCCUUUCCCGGCACCGUCAUCACCGGCCUACCCGUGGGCGGCCACCGAGGUGUUCUCUGCUGCUCGUAGCUCGCCUAGGCGCCCCUUUUGUCCUCUCACUUCCUUGACCUGCCUCCUGAGGAGAGGGACGAGAAAGGGAUCACGGGCACCUUAUCUCUUUUUUAAUCUGUAAGCCUUCGGGCCUUGUUAAACUUAAAGCUUGUAAUCCCCUUUGUUCAUGUUUUUCAUUCCGUACGGACUGUACCUGUGUGGGAUGCUUUUAAUGAAGAAGGUAUGUUUGCCGGGUUUUCUGUUCGUGGGCAGACCCCGCGACAAGGAAAGAAUCCUUGUUAUAAUUUAAGAUAAACGUUUUCACCCGGCAACAGGCCUUGCCGUCCCCCUACUUCGCUCGACCAUUCUCGCGCCCUUGGCGGAGACAGGGAUGAAGCGGGCCUAGGCUCCUUGUUCUAAUUCCUUGCCACCACGGCUACAACCAAAUCCGCGCCCAGGAGAUAAUCCUUGGGUAUAGAAAAGGGGAGCACGGUGGCCUAGAAAUAAAACGAGGUUUCACAUAUCCCAGUUCCGUUCCGAAAUGCAUGAUACAGGAUGAAAGACUUAUCUGGAUCUGCAGCCCCCGGCAACCUUGUCUUGCCGCGGUUGGAUCCUUGUGCUUGCAGCCCCCGGCAACUCUGGUUUGCCGGGGUUGGGAUGCCGGUCCGUUUCCCUUCUUCCAAGUAGCUCAGCAGAAGUGCUCAUGUGCCCUGCGAACCAAAGGAGGACAGAAAAGAAACAGAUAGACGCGCACUCAACCUCUAGGCUAGGGGUUAGUCGCCGCUAAGCACUAUCAACCCUAACCACGGAAGAGACUCGACCUAGCAUGCAUGCUAUAACUUAGGGCGCCAACGCUUCAUUUAUUUAUGCUCAGGGUCUGCGCCUGGCUUUGUACAAAGGGUCACAUGCCUUGUCGGCAAAGCUUGUACAAAAGGUGGCUUGCCGGGAGGCCCGGCAAGCCGCGCCUUACGGGUAAAACUUGUGAAGAUGCUCGAUGUUCCAGGAGUUGCUCAUUGGGACAGCAUCUUCGGUCUACAGGCGGACUGCGCCGGGCCUGGUGAUUCGUAUUACCCGAUAAGGGCCUUCCCACUUUGGCGUCUACUUGUUGGAAUUCUUGGCCGACUGAACGCGCCGAAGAACAAGGUCGCCUUCCUCAAAGCUUCGGGCAUGAACCUUGCGGCUAUGGUAGCGGCGCAAGGCUUGCUGGUAGCGCGCUGCUCUCACAGCCGCCCGAAGACGAUCUUCCUCAAGGAGCGUUGCGUCAUCUUGGCGCAACUGCUCUUGCUCAAGCUCAUCAUAAGCGAGCACUCGAGGUGACCCGUAUAUGAGUUCCGUGGGGAGAACUGCUUCUGCCCCGUAUACCAGGGCAAAAGGUAUCUGGCUGCUGGCUUGAUUUGGCGUCGUCCUGAUCGACCAAAGAACCGCCGGCAAUUCAUCAAUCCAGCGCCUUCUGCUCUUGCGCAGCUUGUCAAAAGUCUUUGUCCUUAGGCCUCGCAACACUUCAGCAUUUGCCCUCUCCGCUUGGUCGUUGCUCCGUGGGUGUGCCAUGGAAGCAAAACAGACCUUGUUGCCGAGGUCUCGAAUAUAUUGCAUGAAGGUGUGGCUCGUGAACUGCGUGCCGUUGUCGGUGAUGACUCUGUUUGGCACACCAAAAUGGCAGACCAGUCCCUUGAAAAACUUGACAGUUGAUUGAGCAGUCACAUUUCUCACUGCUUCCACCUCCGGCCACUUUGUGAACUUGUCGAUCGCAACGUACAAGUACUCAAAGCCCCGACAGCGCGGGGGAAAGGGCCCAAUAUAUCGAGCCCCCAGACUGAGAAUGGACAGGAGAGAGGGAUUGUUUGAAGGGCUUGAGCUGGUUGAUGAAGCUUCUUUGAAUGGAACUGACACGCUUCACACUUGGUUACUAGUGCCGUCGCAUCCUGGAGGGCGGUGGGCCAGAAGAAACCUUGCCGGGACGCCUUCCUGACAAGGGCCCUCGAUCCUAUGUGGGAGCCACAUAUGCCUCCAUGUAUCUCUGCCAACAACUCCAGUCCUUCCUCCCGGGGGAUGCACUUCAAUUUCACACCGUUUGGUCUUCUCCUGUACAGUACGUCAUCGACGAACUGGUACAGGGUGGACCGACGGGCUACUUUUUCCGCUUCUUCCUGCUCCUCAGGAAGCUCCCCUGUGUGGAGGAAUUGGACGGUAUGCUGCGCCCAUGCCGGAGCUUGGGGCUCGAUGGCAAGGAACAAAGGCAUUUCUUCCGCCAUGGGAGCGGCUGUCUCUACGGCCAGGGCUUGACGCCCUGCCGGAGCCAGUUGCUCUUGGGCAGGCUCAGCGCUCGCGGCAGCACCCUUGCCGGCAGCCCCAGGGGGCUCGGUAGGAAAGUACUUGCCGGGACCUGGCUUCCUCCGCUUGUUCUGCCCUGCUGAUGGUUCGACGGAUGGUUGAGUUAACCGGAGCAAAAAGGUACCUGGUUCCACAGGUAGCUUGAAUGCGGCGCGCUUUGACAGGUGAUCGGCGAUGUCGUUCUCCGCUCGGGGGACGUGCUCCCCUUGGAUACCGUCAAAGCGUUCCUCCAGCUUCCUCACCUCAUCUACGUAAGCUUCCAUAAAUGGGCUCUAAUAAUCCUUGUUGACCUGUCUAACAACGAGCUGCGAGUCACCCCUGGCGAUGAGCUUCUUAACCCCGAGGUCUGCUGCGAUCCUGAGACCGGCAAGCAAUCCUCGUACUCAGCAGUGUUGUUGGUGGACAUCUCCCUGGGGAAGUGCAUCUGGAUCACGUACUUGAGGUGCUCUCUGGUGGGCGCGACGAGCAGCACACCGGCACCAGCGCCUUGCAGCGAGAAAGCCCCAUCAAAGUACAUGAUUCAGUCGCGGUCUGCUUCCUUGCCGGGGAGAGUGGUCUCCUGGAUUUCUUCAUCAGGCGUCGAGGUCCAUUCCGCAAUGAACUCCGCCAAGACUCUGCUCUGAAUUGUCGAGGUACUUUCAAACUUUAAACCAAAGCUUGACAACUCCAAGGCCCAUUCCACAAUCCUUCCAGUCGCAUCUGGGUUAUGCAGUAUCCGUUGCAAUGGGAGGCGGGUGACGAUAGUGAUCUCGUGGGCUUGGAAGUAAUGACGCAGCUUCCUCGAGGCCAUAAGGAGGCCGAAGAGCAAUUUCUGCACACCGGAGUACCUCGAUCUAGCUCCCUGCAAGAGGGAGCUGACAAAGUAAACCGGGUGCUGCAUCAUCUUCUUCUUCUGCACCACCUCACUUGACUGUGCGGGCACUGCCUCGGCGGCAUCAGACUCUGCCGGGGGCCUCGCCUUGCCGGCGCCAGGCCCUGCUGGGGGAAUUUUGGGCUUGCCAUCCACUGGUUCCGCCGCCGUCACUGCCUCCUCGUUGACCUCCCUCUAUGCCACCAGCGCGGCGCUAACCACUUGAUUCGUCACCGCCAGAUACAGCAGCAACGGCUCUUGUGGUUUAGGCGCAACCAGUAUUGGCAUGGAGGAAAGGUAUUUCUUCAGAUCCUGCAAUGAUGCCUCGGCUUCUGGGGUCCACUCCAUUGGUCCUGCCUUCUUCAAGAUUUUGAAGAAGGGAAGGGCGCGCUCGGCGGACUUGGAGAUGAAUCGGCUCAUGGCGGCAACGCAGCCGGUGAGCCGACGCACAUCCUUGAUCUGCUUGGGCGCCUCAAUCUUCUCAAUAGCCUUGAUCUUGUCUGGGUUUGCCUCGAUCCCGCACUGCGACACAAAGAACCCGAGAAGCUUGCCGGAUGGAACACCGAAGACACACUUCUCAGGGUUCAGCUUGAGGUUGAUCUUGCGCAGGUUGGCAAAUGUCUCUUCCAGAUCUUGCACAAGAGUUGGCCCGUCCUUGGUUUUGGCCACUAUGUCAUCCAUGUAUGCCUCCAUGUUUCACAUGGGGUGAUGAAUGCUGUCUUUUCUCCAUCCUCUCUUGUCAUGAAGAUCUAGUGGUAGCCCGAGUAGGCGUCGAGGAAUGAUAACAGAUCACACCUGGCUGUGCAGUCAACAAUCUGGUCGAUGCGUGGCAACGGGAAGGGGUCCUUAGGACAAGCCUUAUUGAUAUCUGUGUAAUCAAUACACAACCUCCACUUCCCAUUCGACUUGCGCACCACUACCGGAUUGGCCAACCACGUCGGGUGGAGCACUCCUCUCACCAAACCCGCCACUUCCAACUUCCUGAUCUCCUCUGUGAUGAACUCCUGCCUCUCCAGAGCCUGCUUCCUGACCUUCUGCUUGACCGGCCGCGCGUGGGGGCAGACAGCUAGGUGGUGCUCAAUCACCUCCCUGGGAACACCGAGGAUGUUGGAUGCUUGCCACGCAAACACAUCGACAUUCGCCCGCAGGAAGGUGACGAGCGCGCCUUCCUAUUUGCUAUCGAGGGUGGAGCCUAUGGUGAAGGCCCCUCCCGUGCCAUCCUCCCUGACGGGCACCUUCUUGGUCCGCGGCGGCUCGACUCUGGAUCUCUUGCUCUUGUCGGUAGAGCUCUCUGGCACGUCCUCGACGGUAGCACAACACUCCGAGGAGGUGCGCUUGCUGGAGUGGGUGCGAGAGGUCUUGCCGGGCUUCUCCUUCCCUCCCGGGCCUUCAGCAGCAGGAGCAAGUGCCUUGACGGCAGCUGCUGCAAGUGCUUCCCGGUAGAGUUGGUCGGUGCAGAUCAGCGCGUCCUUCUUGUCGGAGGGGACGGAGAUGAUGGUCAACAGCCCGGGCAUCUUUAGCAUGUUGUAGGCGUAGUGUGAUGCCGCCAUGAACUUGGCUAGUGCCGGGCGGCCGAGGAUCCCGUUGUAGGGCAAGGGGAUCUCGGCCACGUCGAAGAUGAUCCUCUCCGUCCUGUAGUUUAAUUCUCCUCCAAACGUCACGGGCAGUGUGACCUUCCCCUUCGGCUGGCUCCUCCCCGGAUUGACCCCUUGAAAUGUGCCCGUUUCCUCGAGGUCUCCAUCAGGGAUUUGCAAUCUUUUGAUCACGACAGGCAAGAUCAGGUUCAGGCCGGCCCCGCCGUCAACCAACAUCUUGUUCACCCUGAGGUUGCGUAUCAUUGGUGAGACCAACAAUGGCAAACACCCGACCGUGGUAGUGUGGUCAGGGUGGUCCUCGGCGUCAAAGAUGAGGGGCGUGCUGGACCAUUCCAGCGGCUUCUGAGCGUCGAACGACGGCUCCGCUGCUGUAAUCUCACGUGCCCACUGCUUGAGCUGGCGGUGAGAGGUAUGCAGCGAGGCGCCGCCAUCAACGCACAUGGCCUCCGUAGCCUUCUGGAACCCUUGCUCACCAGACUCGUCGUCCUCGUCAUGGUCAUCGUCUUCUUGUUUCUUUUCACGGCCCCGGGUGGGCCUCUCUUGCUGGUUGUCCUUGCCGAGGCAGCUUCCUUGGCCGCCAUGCUUCUUGCCGGAUCCCUCAGCACCGUCCUGGUCCUUCUCCUUGUCCCGCCUCUCGUACUCAGCUUUUUGCUUCUCAGCGAGCAGCUUGACUUGUCGGCAGUUCUGGAGGUCGUGGCCCUUGGUGCAGUGGAUCUUGCAGUAUUGCCUGCCGGAGCUUCCUGGCUUGUCGGUAGCCGCCAAGGCCCGGCAGGCGGCGUAGCCGGCAAUCUCCUUGCCGGGGGCGUCUUCCUUGACCUUCUUGCCGGCACCGGUGUCGUCAGAUCCCUCAAUGGCAAGCACGGCCUUGCCUUUGCGUUUCCUGUUGCGACGCCGGCCCUUCUUUGUCGGGGUAGCGGCAUCUUCAUCGGUAGAGUCGGUUUCCGCGCCGGCGUCUUCCCCGGGGUACUUCCUUCACUCUUUAGCCCGGGCGUGCCUAUCGGCCAGAACGUAGAGCUCGGCCACAUCCUUAACUUUGGUCAUCGCCAGCUCUUCGCGCAUCUUGCAGUUGCGCACGUUCUGGUGGAACGCGCUGAUCACAGUGGCGGGAUGAACGUCGGGGAUGUUGUACUGCACCCGGCUGAAUCUCUGGAUGUACUUGCGCAGGGUUUGCCCUUCCUUCUGGGGAAUGAUAUGUAGAUCACUGGCUUGGCCAUGAGCUUGGUGGCCUCCUGUGAAGGCGCCAAUGAACUCAUGGCAUAGAUCCGACCAAGAAGAAGUGGAAUCCACCGGCAGGUACAUCAACCAAGACAUCACAUUGGGCUUCAGCGCCAGCGGGAAAUAGUUGGCAAGCACCUUGUCAUCGCGAGCUCCAGCAGCCUGCAUCGCGAUGGUGUAGAUGCUGAGGAACUCGGACGGAUGGGUCUUGCCAGUGUACUUCUCGCCGACGUCGGGCUUGAACGUGCGGUGGGACGGCCAUUGCAACUGCCGCAGCUCACGGGUAAAGGCCGGGCAGCCCACCUCGUAAGGUAGGCCGCCGGGGCCCCCGGUGCCGGGUGGUCCAUAGAGGGUCCCGCCCGCUUGUCCGACUGGCGGCGCGUUUCGCGCCGGCGCUCGACGGUGGUUCGAGCGUCUUCGUGAGCUCGUUCCCGAAGGACCUGGCGCUGGUCGUGGAGGGUCCGUGGGUUGGACGACGCUAUGGAGAUGUUAUCACAAGCGUCGUCACGAAGGGCCGACGCCCGCGGCGGCUGGCGAGGAGGAGGAGAGUGCACCGUGGCCGCAGCUCCCCCGGUCCUCCCAGCGUCAGCAUGUGGUGGCUUGGUGGAGCGCCGACCCGAGGGCCCCGCCGGUCGCGGAUCGUCUUUAUUGGCGACGGCGACGAGGCUCCGAAUGGUGGCCCUCCACUCAUCGAGCUUCUCCGCAGCAGGAGGGAAGUCGAGGAGCAGCUGCGCGCGCGCCAAAGCUUCCGCUGGCGUGGGCGGCGGCAGCAGCUGUGUGGAUCGCGGCGCGCUUCGACUUCUAAAUACGUUAGAAGGAGCUCCGUUACGACCCAGCGGCUGCGUGCCAUUUUUGCCAGCGCUUCGGCGAGCGUGCUGAACCCCUUCAUCUUGCGGAUGACGCACAGGGCUCUUCCCACGGCGGUGCCCAGGGUCACCAACUUGGUGACGCUGCUCGGCGCGCACACCAUGGGAAGAGCGCGCGGUGGUCGCCGGUGUGGGCGUCUUGGAGGUCGCUGCGUCGCCCGGAGGUGGCACAACGACACCCCUGGAGGGCCCCGCGCCGCCUGCGGGGGGGCCAGCUCCGUCUUUGGAUCUAGCGACGUGCAGCCGGUCGUCUGGCGUGCGAAUGACGCCGCCCGCCAGGCUCUGACUGCCUGGGCGACGCUGGUGCUCGCGGACCGCGGCCCGGGUCCUUUCCGCGACCGGUCCACUGCUCGUCCGCACCAGCACGGGCCGUUCGGCUCCCAAUGAGCCGAUCGCCGUGGCCGUCUUCUUCUUAGGAGCCAUGGCGAAGAAGAACUUCUAGGCUAACUACUAGACCAGAUUCUCACGAUUGCGCCCCCUACCUGGCACGCCAAAGAUGUCGGGGAAAAACGACACCUAUGGGAUCACAAGAAUCCCUACUACGGUUGCCGGGGCGCAGGGUUGCAAGAAGAGCAGGAUCAGUAGCCAGCACAAGGAGCGUUUACCUAGGUUCGGGCCGCGAGGAUGCGUAAAACCCUAGUCCUGCUUUGGUGGGUGUAUUUCAAAGAGUUCUUGAGCUCUUGAACUAGCUGUGGUGAGUGCGUGGUUCCAAAGAGCCGAAUCCUUUUCCAGUAUGCCAUGGGCCUCCUUUUAUAGUCGAAAGGGGCUGCCAUAGUGGCACACAGGAGGUGGAAAGGUGCACGGUGCCCUGAGCUUAUCGCUCGUAUUACAGGAUAAGACGCAUUUAAUGCGUAGCUUAGGUGUCCCCCUGCUUUAUCGGGGACGGGGGCGAGGCCCGUCCCAUCCGUCGCCGCUCCUCCUUGCUUCGACACGCGCCUUGGCCAGCGAUGCGUGCGGCGCCAUGUAGGCAGGCAGGCAGCUGAGGUGGCGUGGUGGUGGAGCCUUCACGAAGAUCUGCAUGCCGCCACGCAGGCGCUCGAUGAGUUGGCCUGGGAGCUGCAUGUUGCCACGCAGGUGCGCGCCCAGCUGGUUGGGCUGGCAGCUGCAUGUGAAUGGCGGUGGAAGCUUGGUUGGCGUGGGCCUGGCGGUGGCCCCGCUGGCAUCCUUGGUGAGGGCCUUGCCAGGUGGCCCGGAAAGGGUCUUGCCGUGUGGCCCGGCAAGGGCCUUGCCGUGGCGCGCUGUCGUCCCCGGCAAGGGCCUUGCCGGGGGUCUGGUGGCCUUCCUCGGCAAGGAUCUUGCCGAGGAUCGUCGUCUUCUAAUCCUCAUCUGAUCUUGAAUAUAUCUUCACAAAGAUCUGCAUGCCACCACAGAGGUGCCUUCCCGAGCCGUGGCCCCACGUGGAUGAUGGCGUUGGGGACCGUGGGCUCAAGGGUGGCUCGUUCUAUUGGUGUUGGGCGAGCUGCCCCGGCAAGGGUCUUGCCGGGGGAGCCUGCUUUAUCCCUCUGCUCCUUGUGGUCUCGGCCUUGGCAUUGCUCUGAUUAUCUUGGGCUUCGGUCUUACCUGGGCUCACCUCCCCUGUUCUGCUUGGCGUGACCGUGGGCGCGGCUCCGACUACCCGUGCACAGGUAAAGGGGUACAAAGGCGUGCCCCUCUUUUUGUACACCGACAAGACCAGAGGGGGAGGGGGGGUGCAGCCUGCCCUAGCCGGCCCCUCUCUCUCUCUCCACUAGGGCCCAACAAGGCCCAUUAACCCCCGGGGGUUUCCGGUAACCCCUCCGGCACUCCGUUAAAAUCCCGAUUUCACCCGGAACUCUUCCGAUGUCCAAAUGUAGGCUUCCAAUAUAUCAAUCUUUAUGUAUCGACCAUUUCGAGACUCCUCGUCAUGUCCGUGAUCAUAUCCGAAACUCCGAACUACCUUCGGUACAUCAAAACAUAUAAACUCAUAAUACCAAUCGUCACAGAACUUUAAGUGUGCGGACCCUACGGGUUCGAGAACUAUGUAGACACGACCGAGACACGUCUCCGGUCAAUAACUGAUAGCGGAACCUGGAUGCUCAUAUUAGUUCCUACAUAUUCUAUGAAGAUCUUUAUCGGUCAAACCGCAUAACAACAUACAUUGUUCCCUUUGUCAUCGGUAUGUUACUUGCUCGAGAUUCGAUCGUCGGUAUCUCAAUACCUAGCUCAAUCUCGUUACCGGCAAGUCUCUUUACUCGUUCCGUAAUGCAUCAUCCCGCAACUAACUCAUAGUGAUGUGCAUUACCGAGAGGGCCCAGAGAUACCUCUCCGACAAUCGGAGUGACAAAUCCUAUUCUUGAUCUAUGCCAACUCCACUAACACCAUCGGAGACACCUGUAGAGCACCUUUAUAAUCACCCAGUUACGUUGUGACGUUUGGUAACACACAAAGUGUUCCUCCGGUAUUCGGAAGUUGCAUAAUCUCAUAGUCAUAGGAACAUGUAUAAGUCAUGAAGAAAGCAAUAACAGUCAACUAAACAAUCAAGUGCUAAGCUAACAGAAUGGGUCAAGUCAAUCACAUCAUUCUCCUAAUGAUGUGAUCCCGUUAAUCAAAUGACAACUCAUGUCUAUGGUUAGGAAACUCAACCAUCUUUGAUCAACGAGCUAGUCAAGUAGAGGCAUACUAGUGACACUAUGUUUGUCUAUGUAUUCACACAUAUAUUAUGUUUCCGGUUAAUACAAUUCUAGCAUGAAUAAUAAACAUUUAUCAUGAUAUGAGGAAAUAAAUAAUAACUUUAUUAUUGCCUCUAGGGUAUAUUUCCUUCAUGCAUUGCCCUUUCUCACCUUGAGAGUUGGUGCAAACUUCGCCCGUGCAUCCAACCCCCGUGAUAUGAUACGCUCUAUCACACAUAAACCUCCUUAUAUCUUCCUCAAAACAGCCACCAUACCUACCUAUUAUGGCAUUUCCAUAGCCAUUCUGAGAUAUAUUGCCAUGCAACUUUCCACCGUUUCAUUUAUUAUGACACGCUUCAUCAUUGUCAUAUUGCCUUGCAUGAUCAUGUAGUUGACAUCGUAUUUGUGGCAAAGCCACCAUGCAUAAUUUUUCAUACAUGUCACUCUUGAUUCAUUGCCCAUCUCGGUACACCGCCGGAGGCAUUCAUAUAGAGUCAUAUUUUGUUCUAGUAUCGAGUUGUAAUCAUUGAGUUGUAAAUAAAUAGAAGUGUGAUGAUCAUCAUUAAUAGAGCGUUGUCCCAAAAAAAAAGGAGAAAGGCCAAAAAAAGGAAGGCCCAAAAAAGAAAAAAAAGAAAUAAAAGGGACAAUGCUACUAUCCUUUUUUCCACACUUGUGCUUCAAAGUAGCACCAUGAUCUUUAUGAUAGAGAGUCUCUUGUUUUGUCACUUUCAUAUACUAGUGGGAAUUUUCCAUUAUAGAACUUGGCUUGUAUAUUCCAACAAUGGGCUUCCUCAAAUGCCCUAGGUCUUCAUGAGCAAGCAAGUUGGAUGCACACCCACUUAGUUUCUUUUGUUGAGCUUUCAUACAUUUAUAGCUCUAGUGCAUCCGUUGGAUGGAAAUCCCUACUCCUUGAAUUGGCAUCAAUUGAUGGGCAUCUCCCUAGCCCGUUGAUUAGCCGCGUCAAUGUGAGACUUUCUCUUUUUUGUCUUCUCCACACAACCCCCAUCGUUAUACUCUAUUCCACCCAUAGUGCUAUGUCCAUGGCUCACGCUCAUGUAUUGCGUGAAAGUUGAAAAAAGUUUGAGAUUACUAAAGUAUGAAACAAUUUCUUGGCUUGUCAUCGGGGUUGUGCACGAUGAGAGCAUUUUUGUGUGACGAAAAUGAAGCAUAGCCAAACUAUAUGAUUUUGUAGGGAUAAGCUUUCUUUGGCCAUGUUAUUUUGAGAAGACAUAAUUGCUUAGUUAGUAUGCUUGAAGUAUUAUUAUUUUUAUAUCAAUAUUAAACUUUUGUCUUGAAUCUUUCAGAUCUGAAUAUUCAUGCCACAAUAAAGGAAAUUAUAUUGAGAAUUAUGCAAGGUAGCAUUCCACAUCAAAAAAUCUGUUUUUAUCAUUUACCUACUCGAGGACAAGCAGGAAUUAAGCUUGGGGAUGCUUGAUACGUCUCCAACGUAUCUAUAAUUUUUGAUUGUUCCAUGCUAUUAUAUUAUCUGUUUUGGAUGUUUAAUGGGCUUUAUUAUACACUUUUAUAUUAUUUUUGGGACUAACCUACUAACCAAAGGCCCAGUGCAAAUUGCUGUUUUUUUUCCUAUUUUAGUUUUUUGCAGAAAAGGAAUAUCAAACGGAAUGAAACCUUCGGGAGAGUUAUUUUUGGAACAAAAGCAAUCCAGGAGACUUGGAGUGGACGUCAAGCAAGCAACGAGGCGGCCACGAGGCAGGUAGGCGCGCCCAGGGGGUAGGCGCGCCCCCACCCUUGUGGGCCCCUCGUGGCUCAACCGACCUACUUCUUUCGCCUAUAUAUACUCAUGUACCCUGAAAACAUCCAAGAGCACCACAAAACCCUAUUUCCACCACCGCAACCUUCUGUACCCGUGAGAUCCCAUCUUGGGGCCUUUUCUGGCGCUCCGCCGGAGGGGGAAUCGAUCACGGAGGGCUUCUACAUCAACACCAUAGCCUCUCCGAUGAUGUGUGAGUUGUUUACCACAGACCUUUGGGUCCAUAGUUAUUAGCUAGAUGGCUUCUUCUCUCUCUUUGGAUCUCAAUACAAAGUUCUCCUCGAUUCUCUUGGAUAUCUAUUCGAUUUAAUUCUAUUUGCGGUGUGUUUGUCGAGAUCCGAUGAAUUGUGGGUUUAUGAUCAAGAUUAUCUAUGAACAAUAUUUGGUUUUUCACUGAAUUCUUAUAUGUAUGAUUUGUUAUCUUUGCAAGUCUCUUUGAAUUAUCAGUUUGGUUUGGCCUACUAGAUUGAUCUUUCUCGCCAUGGGAGAAUUGCUUAGCUUUGGGUUCAAUCUUGCGGUGUCCUUUUCCAGUGACAGCAGGGGCAGCAAGGCAUGUAUUGUAUUGUUGCCAUCGAGGAUAAAAAGAUGGGGUUUAUAUCAUAUUGCUUGAGUUUAUCCCUCUACAUCAUGUCAUCUUGCCUAAUGUGUUACUCUGUUCUUAUGAACUUAAUACUCUAGAUGCAUGCUGGAUAGCGGUCGAUGUGUGGAGUAAUAGUAGUAGACGCAGAAACGUUUCGGUCUAUUUGUCACAGACGUGAUGCCUAUAUAAAUGAUCAUGCCUAGAUAUUCUCAUAACUAUAAGUUUUUCUAUCAAUUGCUCGACAGUAAUUUGUUCACCCACCGUAAAUUAUGCUAUCUUGAGAGAAGCCACUAGUGAAACCUACGGCCCCCGGGUCUAUCUUCCAUCAUAUUAUUUUCCUAUCAAUUUACUAUUUCUUCCGUUAUUUAUUUUGCAAUCUUUACUUUCCAAUCUAUAUCAUAAAAAUACAAAAAAUAUUUAUCUUAUUAUCUCUAUCAGAUCUCACUUUUGCAAGUGGUCGUGAAGGGAUUGACAACCCCUUUAUCGUGUUGGUUGCAAGGUUCUUAUUUGUUUGUGUAGGUACGAGGCGACUUGUGUGUAACCUCCUACUGGAUUGAUACCUUGGUUCUCAAAAACUGAGGGAAAUACUUAUGCUACUUUGAUGCAUCACCCUUUCCUCUUCAAGGGAAAACCAACGCAUGCUCAAGAGGUAGCAAGACCCGUGUAUACGGUUAGCCGUGGAAUGUGAAAGUAUGGUGGAAGAAGGAAUAAACUUUAAUUUCUGUUUGGGAACCGCCUAUGAUAUAUCUAGCAUGGAAAGUAUUGGGAACUACUUGAUCGUUUUCGUUGACAGGAAAAGCAUGCCACCCAAAAUGUUUUAUCUCUAUCUUUUUCGCUUUGAGCUCUGGCACCUCUACAAAUCCCUACUUUCCUCUGCGAAGGGCCUUUCUAUUUACUUUAUGCAAUUUUUAUUUCUCAGUCUCCAUCUUCUCUUAUAAAGCACCAAACACUGGUGCGCGUCAGUCCUAAACAAACGGUUUAAAACCCCUUUCCGCGACGGCAUUUGGAACCGUCUCCAAGUGAGUGUGGGAGAUAGGGGGGUCCUUCCCACACGACCCAGAAACCGUCGGGGAUAUGCCCUCCUGGCACACACGUUCGGCAAAAUGAGGUCGUGUGCGACCGGCGAGCGCUCAAAUACGGAAAUACGUACAGUACAGAUAAAAAAUACAAUUAUACGGCAAAAUUGUUUCCAGUCGCAAGUACAUCCCACACAGUCAGUCCCCACUAAACGUUUCCUUUCGUAUGCAUAUCCCACACAGUCGCUCCAAGGAAAACGUUUCCGUUCAUAGGUACAUCACACACAAUUUUUCGUGUUAAAUCGUUUGCGUUAUUGAAUGUAGCACACACGGUCCGUAGAAGAAACUGUGCGGCAAAGGUUGUCCAUGACACACAGUUUUUAUGUGGUAAACGUUUGUGCAAGGUGGCCUAACGCAAACAGUUUUCAAGAGAAAUUCGUGUGUGAUUGUUCAUUGGUCCAACACGGUUUAUUCUUAGAAACUGUGUGCGUUGCCUGAGGUCAUCGCCCACGGUAUUUUUCAACAACCAUUUGCAAUAUCAAAACCCAAUUAGCAGGCUAAUUCGCCAUUAGCAGGCUAAUUGCCCUAUUAUUAAUAAUCCAUUUAUUAAUCUAAUUUACAUUCAUAUUAAGCACACAAUAUAUUUCAUUUCCAUAUUAAGGAAGCAGAAUUUCAUAAUUGAAAUACAUCAGAGUACAACAUGAUAUAGCUUCUGCACUCAGCUACCCCAUUACACAACUGCACCAGCAGCAAGUUCCACAUGCAACAUGUAGAACCUUUCGAAAUUAGCAUCAUAGACGGUAUAUAGGCAGAUGCAUCUCAUCUGGAAAACUGCUGAAGCGGAAGGCGAAUAUUGAACCUUCAUUCAUGUUGAAGGUCUUUGCAACUUUAGGCCAGUGCCUGUGGAUGAUUGACCGUUCGUCCUUCGACCUCUUCAGGAACACUUCAAUAUUGAACCGUGGGUGUUGUAUGAAAACCUUCCUCGCCUCCUGACCAUAGAGGUGGUUUGAGAGGUAAUCAUCAGUGAACUGCUUUGGAAGGCCUGAAAACAAGGAUGUGCAUAAAUAUCUUCUCUAUAUUGGAAAUGGGUCAAAGGAAUAAAAAAAGGCAAGGUAUAAUAGUUAGUACCAUCUUGUAGUGAACUGAUGUCUUCUUCAUUAUGCAGACAAAGAUCUUGUUGUUUUCUGUCGCUAAUUUCUUUAUCCUAACAAUCUUUCUGAGUUUCUUGAUUUGAUUGAUAUUCAUGGACAACUCAUUUCCCCAUAUACAAAAAGGGUCGAACAGUGGGUCAAAACCUCUGACAGCAGGACCUACAUGUGCAAGACCAAACUGUUAAAAACCAAAAUAUUAGAAUGGUUCCUGCAAUUGCAAAAUAAUGUGCUAUUAGACAACGGACCAUGCACGUGCUAGCCUCGAUUGUAAACCUUAGUGCUUCCCAUUGUUUCCCUGCAACACAUAUAAGGUAGUUAGUCAUCAGGUUAAGUAAGGGUUUGCAUGCUAUUAGUAAAAUAUGUUGAUGAAAAAUAAGCACAUUGCAGAUUCAUCAGAUUAAUUGAAGCCACACGGAAAACCCAUUUACCCAAACCAAGCAUGAUUAAUAACUAGGAAAUAUAGCACUUGUAUAUGUUUCUCGUGUAUUAAGUGCAGCCAAAUUCGAUUUAUUCCUCACAUGCACAACAAUACAAAAUUCUACCCACGACAAUUGGACAUCGCAUUGCAGAAUUGAACCAAACAGUUAACUAAACACCACAACAAAUGAACCAAACAUUAACUGAGCACCACAUUGCACAAUAUAACAUUGAACCAAGCAGUUAACUAAGCACCACAACAAAUGAACCAAACAUUAACUGAGCACCACAUUGCACAAUAUAACAUACUCCUAAUAGAAGAUCAGAGAGUUAACCAAACAGUUAACUACAGCCAAUUGUAGCAAUUGUAUUUGUUUCUCAUGUAUUUACUACAACCAAAUUCAUUUUAUUCCUCACAUGGUAUACAAUAACAAAAUGUACCCACAAUUUUGUAAAGAUAAAUUUGAUUUAUUUCUCACAUGGAAGACAAUACAAAAUUGCAGCCUGAAGAAUUGAACAUCACAUUUGCAGAAUUGAACCAAACAGUUAACUGAAGACGACAACUAAUUAACAAAACAGUUAAUAAGUGAGCACCACACUGCACGACAUAUAGAACAUAUACACUAGAGCAACAGAUUGCAUGGUGAAAUUAGAUAGCACAAUUCACUAGAUUUUGUGAAGGAAAGGCAAGAGCAGCACACGCAACGGGUAAACCGAGCAUGCUUAACCGGCGUAGCUAGCAAUUGGCAAGGUGCUCCUCCAAGAUCUGGGGGUCAGCACGAAUGGCAGCCAUCGCGACCUCAUCCGCACGUGUGGCCGCGAUUUGCUUCUCCGCUGCCAAAUGCUCCUUGAGGUCCUGGCUAUAUUGCGUGCACCAUGGCUUAGGCCGGCACUUAUUUGGUGGAGGGGUCGGUGAUUUGGGUGGAAGGUGUCGCGCUCGCGCCGACGGUCGGGGCAUGUGGGGUGUGGAAGGAGGAGGAGGAUGGGGGUCGGGUGUGGAUUACCUGCCUAGAUAGACGAGGCCGAGUAGUGUGAAGGAGGGUCGCCGACGAGGAGGCGGCGGCGCUGCAAGCAAGGAGUGAAGGUAUCAACUUGGAAAGGAAGGCGGAAAGAGGGGAAAUGUGGCUUUUGGUAAGGGGGAGCGGCGGGGAGGUAGAUAUUUCCGCGGAAGCCGAAAAUUUGGAAUCGCUUCAGCCAAAAAACUGGCACGCGAAGUGUCAUCAGAGUAUCAGACACGGUCCCUUAUUUAGAACUAUGUACGAUAUGUGGACAUCACAAACGAUUCAGAUACCUUAACUCGUGUGUGAUGAGUAUGAACGUCAAAAGUUUUUGUUCGAAUUUCCAUGGUUACAGUGGUCAUCCACGUCAUUGCAUAAUUUGGGUACACAAAGGGGACUACAACACACCCACACUUCUUAAUCGAGCAAGUUCAACAAUUAAACAGAGCUAGCUGACCUAAACAUUACUCUAACAAAUUAAAGACCGGUGCUCUUAAUUAAACAAAACAUAGAGUACUACUACGGCUGGUGCUCGUCGAUCUCCGCUGCCGCCUCCAUGUCCAGCUCGCGCCCGACGGUCUCCUGGGGAAGGGGCUCCAUGGCAUCCAUCGCACCAUACUCGGCAAGCAUCUCGCCAUCCGUGUCCGCCAUCUCUUUGGAAAAGGCCGCCAUGAGCUGGGCGUGGGCGGACGCGAUCUGGGCUUGGACGGGCUCCAUCAUCGCAAGGUAUGCGGCAGAGGAACGAACGGUUGCUCGAACGCUCUCGGUGGUUGUCAUCUCUUCGGCCGUGGGUUGCCGGCCGUUGUCGGAGAAGCUUUGUUCGAUUUGUGCGGUGACCGCCAGGAGCUGGGCGUGGGCGGCCUCGACAUGGUCGUGGGAAGCCUCCAUCAGGGCUAAGGCCGCCGCUGCGGAACGGACAGCUGAUGUGCCGCUCUCGCCAGUUGCUAUCCCCGAGGCAGAUGUUGCUGCCGCCACCUGAGAAGCAACAGCGGUCGUUUGGGCUGCCUUUGCCGCCCGGUCGCAAAUUGCGGCCACGCUCAUGCACCUUGUUAGCACCCGCAUGGCGGCUACGGCCACGCUCUUGCCGGAGUGGGCCACCGAAGUUGCCCUCACGACGCGGGUCCACGUGCCCAUCUUUCACGGCGAUGAUUGAACAGUGAAAUGAUAUUUGGGAAGCGAGCUAGUGUGUUUGAGAUGCUGGCUGUGUACUGUAGCCGACGCACCUUAUCGCGUAAGCCAUAGGCGUACUAUACAUCGACGGUGCUCCAAGAUAUUUUAUACUACAUCUCACAUGGUUGCUGACAAUAAACUGUGUGCGAUCUACUUGAUUUUUCAUCUUGAUUUGAAUUACAUAAUGGGGUCACAGCGGCAAUGGAUGGUGUUUGAAUUGCUAGACCUUUUAUCUGGAGUGAACAUGCAGCUAUAUGUGUGUCGUAAAAGAAUUGGAAUUAUUCAGGGUUCGUUUGAACAUUUUAUACAUUAAAUUGGUUUUCUAGCCAUUUCAAGUGAACAAUUCAAAUUUAAACUACAUGCACAUGCUCCAGUGCAUAUAAAUUGGUUGAAAAAUCAAAUAUGUGUCCUUGGGUGCAUGCUUAGGUCCCAUGCAAGAAAUGGGAAUGAAUUUCAAACACCGGGGCACCGUUGAUUGUCAGCAAAACAUUGAGAUGCCUGGUUUUUAAAUUCUAGUAAACCCAAAACUCGUCUGAAAUUCAUGUAACUUGGCAUGCUAUCAUGGAGCGGCAUCAACAUGCCGUGGUACAAAUUUUGUCCCAUUUGGGGCAGGUUUGGGUAUAUGCUUCUCACAAACCGGAGCUUCUCACAACAAGCAUGAUGGUUUUUGGUAGGGAACGUCCCACCUUCGGGGACGAAACGAUAUCCAUUGCCUCUUAUUGCUUUCAAUUUUUUUUCUCGUGUCAACAUAGAACAACAGGAGUGUUGUCUGAUUUUUUAUGAUUUUUUGGGGUUCGUUUGGACAUUUUUAUGCAUUAACUGAGUUUUCAAUGCAUUUUAUGUGCAUAAUUCAAAUUUGAACUACAUGCACAUGCUCCAGUGCAUAUAAAUUGGUUCAAAAAUCAAAUCUGUGUCCUUGGGUGCAUGCUUAGGUCCCAUGCAAGAAAUGGGAAUGAAUUUCAACAACCGGGGCACCGUUGAUUGCCGGCAAAACAUUGAGAUGCCUGGUUUUUAAAUUCUAGUAAAUCCAAAACUCGUCUAAAAUUCAUGAAACUUGGCAUGCUAUCAUGGAGCGGCAUCAACAUGCCGUGGUACAAAUUUUGUCCCAUUUGGGGCAGGUUUGGGUAUAUGCUUCUCACAAACCGGAGCUUCUCACAACAAGCAUGAUGGUUUUCUGUAGGGAACGUCCCGCCUUUGGGGACGAAACGAUAUCCAUUGCCUCUUAUUGCUUUCAAUUUUUUUCUCGUGCCAACAUAGAACAACCGAGUGUUGUGUGAUUUUUUGUGAUUUUUCGGGGUUCAUUUGGACAUUUUUAUGCAUUAAGUGAGUUUUCAAUGCAUUUAUGUGCAUAAUUCAAAUUUGAACUACAUGCACAUGCUCUCGUGCAUAUAAAUUGGUUGAAAAAUCAAAUAUGUGUCCUUGGGUGCAUGCUUAGGUCCCAUGCAAGAAAUGGGAAUGAAUUUCAAACACCAGGCACCGUUGAUUGCCGGCAAAACAUUGAGAUGCCUGGUUUUUAAAUUCUAGUAAAUCCAAAAUUCUGUUAACAAUUCAUGUGACGCCACGUGUCUUGGUUUUAAAGGCUAUAGGAGGUGUCGUGCGGACAGCUGCUUGACCUUGACUGAACGGGAGGCGUACGAGCGCCGUCCGGUGCGCAGGCUGACCGAGAGGCGUGCAAGCUGUCCUUGAGUGCCCAGGCUCACUGGGAAGCGUGCGAGCUGUACGCUGCGCAGGCUCACUGGGAAGCGAGCCCUUUGACUUCCAUGGCCGCCCGCCUUGCUCGCAUCCUCUCCAUUAAUGGCGCCCAAGCCGUAGUUUAAUUCGCUUUUUAAAUAUAAAACACUCAUCGCAAACGUUUUAGUUAGAACACCCGUAUGCAAACCGACAACUUCCCUAGGAAGCCAAGAGAAAAUGAGCCGAGCAGGAUUUCUGCAGCUCUUGAUCGCAAACGUUUUAGAUAGAACACCCGUAUGCAAAGUGAGAGCAGCGCAGGAUUUGUACAUCCCUUCAACGCAAACGGUUGUUUUGCACCCGUGUGGAACCACGUACAAACAAUUUGGUAAUAUUUGUCAAUCCUUGUAACACUGCGAUUUGUCAAAAUAUAAAGCUAAAAAUCACUAGCAGUAUCUAAUUUUUGCAACUAAAAUUCAGUAAUUAAGCAUAGAUUUCAUUCAUAGAUUAAGCAGUCGUUCUUAAUUUAUAGUUUUAUACAAACAGUUCAUUUCGACAGCUGAACUGACCAAACUUUUCCCCAAUUGUUGCCAACCACGUACUGAAAUAGCUAGCCCAACUAUAUAUACUAGCUAAUUUUAAGUACGAUGUACAGUUCCACCACAUCUAUAGUCAGAUGAACUGAACAAAAUAGCCCAUAAAUACUACUACUACUGCGGAGAGGCUUUGUACUACUUUCGGCUUCCUCUCCUCUACCGAGCGCGCUCAGUAAGAGGUGGAGGAGGAGGAGCCUACCGACGAGCUGGGCAACCGCAAUGCGGUGCCUGCCGCUAAUGCAGCUUCAGCGACGCUCGCCUCGAACGCCCUCUGCCGCUCCAGACGACCCCUCUCGAAGCGGUGGUUCUCCUUGUAGAUCUCCUGAUUCCUCCUCUAAGGCGGCGUGUGCCGCUGCCACUGCGGCGAUAAGGCUCUUUGCGUGCUCGACGAGGCGCUCCUCCUCCUCCCGCAGGAACUCGGUGUAGCGCGCAAGGUCGCUGUCGCACGUGCGGGCAUCCACCUCCGCCUCCCGCCUUUGGGCGGCGGUGGCGGAGCGGGUGAUAACCCCAACGGUCGACGGUGGGCUGGCGGCCACGGCGGCCGAUGAUGGGGUGGCGGCCACGACCACCACCUCCCUCCUUCGGGCCGCGGUGGCGGAGCGGGUGAUGGCCACAGUGGCCGGCAGUGGGGUGGCGGCCACGACGGCCAUCUCCCGCCUUCGGGCCGCGGUGGCGGAGACGGGCGAUGGCCCUGGCUUUCGACGGUGGUGUGGCGGCAACGGCGGCCGGCAACAGCUGCCGACGGGCACCGGCGGCGGAGCGUGUGGUGGGUGUUCCGCGCACACCCAACAGGGACACCACCCGCACUACACUACGCCGGGGACUGUGCCGCCGCCGCGGUGUAGCCUCCUAGCUGGACCUGUCCUCUGAUGACGGUGGAGUGGCCGAGUGACGACGACGGACCGGUGCCAUUGGCGAAUGUGGGAGAAGCAGACGGGAUAAGCUACAGGGAUGGAGGAGAAAAUGCGACGCAGGACUCGCCGGCCGUGAGGGUUUUUAUAGCAGGCUGGUAAGCAUUGGGAUUUGGGGAGAUUUCACCAAGUCGGGCGGGAAGCUUGCGCGGGAACCUGCGAGGUUGCGCGGGAACGGGCUCACCGACGAUUCAAUUGCGCCACCGUUUGGCAAAAAGAACGCCCCCGCGUGCUGCGCAAGCUUGCGCUGUAAGCCGUCUGCGGCAGCGGGGUGACAAGACGUGCGAGAGGAGGACGAAUGGCCAGGUACACAUACGGUUAAUAAAAAAACGUUUGCGAUUUAAUUACCUACUAUACCACCGUCCUGGUUUAUAAGUAUGAUUUAACUAAUAAACUACAAAUGCAUGUCGCCAAAGAUUAUAUAGUUGGAUUUGUAUUUGAACAUAGUUUUCAAUUAUAUAAUUUUUAAAACAUGCAUUAACAUUUUGUUGGUUAAAUUUGAGGGCAAAGUAUGGCAUGGAAUAUAAAGAAGACUAUAGACUAGACGGAGGUGGUACCACACGGCCGCUCUCUACGUAGCGAGGUAACUGUCGGCCGGCUUGUAGGCGACCAUUUGCUGCGUGUUCAACUACUCCAUGCGUGUGGUUGCUUGCGGUUCAGGCGGCCGCGGCGCGCUCUGCUCGCGUCCCACCGCGCGCGCUCUGCUCUCGCAUCCCUCCGGGUGCUCUACCCUCGUCCCUCCACGUGCGCUGCCAGUGUUUUGGGCCGGCGCACGAUCACGCACGUUCGUGUGCAAGCGGUUGCGCCGGGCGCAGCGCGACGAUGCAGUUACCCGCUGCAAAAACUGCCAUGCGGACGCGCCGAGAAUCCACGCCGCCCAGCCCCCUUUUAUUCCUGCGGCCAUUUACCUUCAUCUCUCGUCUCACACGUCAAAAUAAGCACACCCACGAGGACACAUACAGAGAGGACAUCUAGCGGUUCCAAUGGCGCUCCCAGCGGCCGCCGACGACAACGGUGGGCCGUACAGCACGCAUCACUUAGUGGACACCCACGUGAGCGGAAGGCCCUCUCGGUGGUGUACACGAACGAUCCGGUCUCGGUGGAGAGCUCCAUCCAAACUAUGGAGCAGUUCCUUGCUGAGGACAAGUACCGAGUGGUCAGCUUCGACCUCGAGUACACCAUCGGUCGUGCCGGGCACGAUCAGAAGGUUGCCAUCACCCAGUUGUGUGUGCGACAUGACGUCCUCGUCUACCACUUCCACCUUGCCACAAGGCCUUGCGAGCGUUUCUCCAGGUUUAUCAAGAGCUCCGGCUACAGUUUCGCUACGGUGGACACCACCAACGAUCUAAAAGCGCUCAAGGUUUCGGACUUGAAAUGCCCGAAUCUUGUCAACAUCCAGCACCACUACAAGGUAUGGGGCACCGAAGAAAGCAAACUGAACUCCCUGGUUGACCUCGCCUCGACCAUCAUCGACCCCUACUACGCGAAGAUGAAGCAAGAGAGCAAUAAGGACAAGAACGCCUGGCACAGUGUGUGGCAUAAGAGACUUGAUGAACAUGUCAAGUACGCGGCCAUGGACGCGUACACAAGCUACGAGAUGUACAGGCGGAUCGUUGACAUGAGGAACUGUCUUCUUCCUGACCCAGACGAGGGAUCGAGCCACAUAGCAUUGGCGGGAGCGUCACAAGAAGUAGAUGACUAGACGAUCGUUUCUCCUACUUUAGAAUGCAUGCAAUUGUUUAUUGAGGUGUGAGCGAAUGAUCUGUAUGGUCACUUAUGUAAUUGGAUGUUUAUUUUAGUUAUAUAUAUAUAUACAUGUUAUUCUACUAUAGACAGAGCAAUUCACAUGGUUUAUUAGCAGCAAUCGUCUGUGUUAUUAUUGGUCUUCGCACACAUUUCAGAUUACGGACCUGUUUGCCGUGUAUCACACACAUCUUGUUCAGUUGAACCGUUUCCAUUGUGUUGCCUAAUCACACAUAGUUCAUCCCAUUGAACCGUAUGCUGUAUAUCGCACACGCCUUCAUCUGGCUACCCGUUUCUUUUGUGCGUCCUCAUCACAAACAGUUCAUUGAGCUGAACCGUAUGCCCUGCAUCGCACACGCAACUAAAUUCUGAACCAUGUAUGAUGCAUCUGUCAUUGCAAACAUUUUUCACCUUUUUGACGGUUUUUUACACCACCGUUUGCGAUUAUGGCAUCGCACACAGUUUCGUCGAAGGGUCUCUGAUCGUAGUGUCGCGUUUGGACCAUCCUGCAGUAGUGAAACUAAGGGGCACUACGAUCGUACUUGAGCAUUGGGUGUAGCUAAUAUGAGAGUGUUUCAUGAAUGGAUCAAUGAUUGAGCAUGAUGGGAUAGGGAUAACUUGCUUUAGUGUUGAUAUUUUGAAAGACAUGGUUGCUUGUUGAUAUGCUUGAGUAUUGAAAUCUUCAUGUCAAAACUAGACUAUUGCUUUGAAUCACAUAAAAGUCCAAAUGUCCAUGCUACAAAAGAAAAUAAUAUGUGAUGAACAUGUUAGGCAGCAUUCCACAUCAAAAAUUCUGUUUUUAUCAUUUACCUACUCAGGGCCGAGUAGGAAUUAAGCUUGGGGAUGCUGAUACGUCUCCAACGUAUCUACAAUUUCUGCUUGUUCCAUGAUGUUAUAUUAUCAUUCUUGGAUGUUUUACAAUCAUUUUAUAGCAACUUUAUAUCAUUUUUUGGGACUAACCUAUUGACAUAGUGCGCAGUGCCAGUUGCUGUUUUUUACUUGUUUUUUACUUUGCAGAAAAUCAAUACCAAACGGAGUCCAAACGCAGCGAAACGUUUUGGAGAAUUUUUCUGGACCAGAAGGAACACGAUGGGCCAAAGAAGUAUCAAAGGGGGUUGAGGGGAGCACAACCCACCUGGGCGCGCCUGGGGGCCCAGGCGCGCCCUGGUGGGUUGUGCCCACCUCGGUGGCUUCCUGCACCGCCUUUUCGCUCUAUAAAUACCCCAAAAAUCCAAAAACCCUAGGGGAGUCGACGAAACACAAUUCCAGCCGUCGCAAGUUCCAGAACCACCAGAUCCAAUCUAGACACCAUCACGGAGGGGUUCAUCAUCCUCAUUGGUGCCUCUCUGUUGAUGCGUGAGUAGUUAAUUGUAGACCUACGGGUCCGUAGGCAGUAGCUAGUUGGCUUCCUCUCUCUCUCUUUUGAUUCUCAAUACAAUUGUCUCUUGGAGAUCUAUUUGAUGUAACUCUUUUUGCGGUGUGUUUGUUGGGAUUCGAUGAACUUUGAGUUUAUGAUCAGAUCUAUUUUAUCCAUGAAAGUUAUUUGAGUUUUGAUCUCUUAUAUGCAUGAUUACUUAUAGCUUGUAUUUCUUCUUCGAAUCUUUGGUUUAGUUAGGCCAACUAGAUCGAUUUUUCUUGCCAUGGGAAGAGGUGCUUUGUGAUGGACUCGGUCGUGCGGUGUUCUUUCCCAGUGAUAGAAGGGGCAGCAAGACACGUAUUGAUCGUUGCUAUUAAGGAUAACAAGAUGGAGUCUAUUCUUACAUGAAUAGAUCUUGUCUAGAUGCAUGCUGGAUAGCGGCUGGUCUGUGGAGUAAUAGUAGUAGAUGCAGGCAGAAGUCGGUCUACUAAUCUUGGACGUGAUGCCUAUAUAAUGAUCAUUGCCUGGAUAUCGUCAUAAUUGUUUGAAGUUCUAUCAAUUGCCCAACGGCGGUAAUUUGUUUACCCGUCGUGUGCUAUUUUUCUCGAGAGAGGCCACUAGUGAAAUCUACGGCUCCCGGGUCUCUUCUUUAUCAUAUUUGCUUUCUGAUCUAUUAUUUGCCUCUUUUAUUUUCAGAUCUAUUAAUCCAAAAAUCCAAAAAUACCUUGCUGCAAUUUGUUGUUAUUUAUUUUAUCUCGCGUUCCCGCGAGAUCUAUUUAUCCAAUCUACUACAAGUUUAUCCAUCCUUUGCCCGGGAGGGAUUGACAACCCCUCUUAGGCGUCGGGUUGCAAGUAUUUGUUCUUUGUGUGCAUGUACCGUUUACAUAGUGUUGCGUGGUUCUCCUACUAGUUUGAUAACCUUGGUCUCAUCACUGAGAGAAAUACUUACCGUAGUUGUGCUGCAUCAUCCCUUCCUCUUCGGGGAAAAUACUGACGCGGACACGAGCCAUCAUUCCCCUACUUGGCUACUAUGUUUGUGGCGACGAGCGAUUCCUGAUCUACGAGUACAUGGAGAAUGGGGGUCUUCAAGGGAAAGUAGUGGCUGCACCAUUGUCGGUGCACUCACGGUGCACCCACGUAAAAAAACAUAGCAAAACAUUUCACAAAAUACUAAAACUUUGUGGGAAUGAUCAUCAACAAAUGUUAUGGGUGAUUUUGUCUUUUUUGUACAGAGCUUCAAUGUUAUUUGACCAGUAAACUUUGCAAGUGCCCAUAACAUUUGUUGAUGAUCAUUCUCACUUUUAGAAUUUUUUGAAAUGUUUUGCUAUGUUUUCUUGCAUGGGUGCACCAUGGGUGUAGAAAAACCACUCUUGGGCCUUGAAAUAUGGCUGAGGAACCUAGCAGGCGCACUUGAAGUGCUUGGAUGGCCAUCUCAAGAUCUGCCUCGGCUCUGCCCAUGGGCUUGCUUUCCUCCAUGAGGUUGUGUUCGAUUGACAUGGAUUUUAAGGAGGUUUGGAAGGGAUUGAAGGGGAUUAAAUCUCAUACAAGUCAAAUGCCGCCCAAAUCCCCUCCAAUCCCCUUGGGCCAGGGUGUAACCGAACGAAGCCUGGAGGAUUUGUGCCUCACCGGGACACGAAAUCAAGCAACAUUUUGUUGGAUGAGAAUUUCGAGCCGCGGUCUCCGACUUGGGCGUUUGGCCUCGCAAGGAUAAUCGGUGCAUGUGAGACUCAUUUCAGCACUGACAUUGUCGGUACAUUUGGAUACACCCCCCUAGAGUACGGCCAGACGAUGAAGUGCAGCACACGGUGUCCUCAUGCUGGAGCUACUUACAGGACGGCCACCCACAGGGCAGGAAAAAGUCUAUUUUAAACCCUGAAAUCGUAGAGGUCGGGCGAAACGAACCCUCAUGUUGAAAUCCCGGUCGAUUGCACCAUGAACUAUGCAAUCCCGGUCUAAAUCGAACCCUGGGUCCUUUGAGGCAUAAAAACGCUUACGUGGCAAAGGUCAAACGGGAUUCUUCUGACUGGUGGGCCAAAGAACGGCAACGUUGCCCACGGCGCACACCCGUCGUCCGCGCUGGGCCGGCCCAUUUUUUUCUGUUACACUGCAAAAAAAAAUGCGUGCAAGAUAAUUCGAAUGCACGACCUCCUGUUUUGGUGCAAACUACACUGACCAACCAGGCCACCUCUCCUCUUGCGACUACUUUAUUUCUUUUUCUUUUUCUUUUAUUUCUGCUUUUUGUUUGUGAAAGCUCCUUAGCUAGAUGAUUCUCAUACAAUUUUUCCUUUAUCUUUUUUAUCUAAUGUGUGAACCUUUUUUCAAUUAUUAUUUUUAAAUUCGUUAAGUUUCUUACAAAACUCGUGAAAAUUUUCAAAUCCACAAACUCUUUUGGAUUUUUCCAUAAUCUGUGAAUUUGUUUCCGACGCAGACUUUUCCAAAUCUGUGAAUUGUUCAAAAUUGAUGAUUUUUUCCAAAAACAUUCUGAUUAUUCCAAAAAAAUCGCGGUUUUUUUUAAAUAUGUGAACUAACAGGAGGUUAAAUAUGUCGGUUGUCCUUUUUGUUCACAAUUGACUUAAGUCGACCUACUGGUUAGCUGCUAUAGCUGUUGACAAACCCGUCCUUAGUUCGAAUCUCUCUAGUCGCAUAUUUAGUUGUGCCCUUUUUUCUUUUCUUUUGCUGAGCCUCGCGGAGUGGUCAAAGUGAACGUUGAACUGGGCAUCCCUUGCAAUCCCUGUUUGGAAAACGACCUUAGGUAUGGUUCAAUUUAGACCGGGAUUGUAUAUUUCAGGGUGCAAUCGACUGGGAUUUUGACACGAGGGUUUAUUUCGUCCAACCUCUAUGAGUUCAAGAUUUAAAAUGGACUUUUUCCCACAGGGCAAAAAGAUGUGGAAGGGGGUGGAAACCUUGCCGUCUGAUUAGGUAGCCGUAGAGUAACCUAGCUGGAGAUUGUAAUGAGAGAAACUAGUGCUGCUCAUGUUCAUGCUUCAGUUGGGAUAAAUGCUUGUCUCUUAAUUCAUGCAUUGUCUUUAUCAGUCACUCAUGGCGGCAUGACAUGAGUAUUUUACAAGCCCCGAAGACGGUUGUGCUGAAAGUUUACUUCUCCUUUCUUUGUUUAUGUAUGUAUCUGAAAGUGAUACUGUAUUUCUAAGCUCACAAUUUUUGUUUUUUUAAGGAAAGAUUGCAAUUAUAUUAAAAUAUCAUCACAGUCGUUACAAUCAGAUUGCACCAGCAACGCCAAAACCAGUGGUAGUUGGCCCAUAUGGACAGCCCCCCUACCACUGCUCUGGGUUAGCCUGGCUAACUCAUGAGCAACUUUGUUGCCAUCUCUCCCAAUCUUUCGAAAGACAAUGUUUGAACUAUCUUGAAGAAGAUCCCUAAUCACAAUAUAAUGCUCUCUCCAAGCUGCAAGAGGGGUUGCAGGGGACAGAAUGUUCAAAAUAACUGCAGCACAAUCAGAUUCAACGAUAAUCUUAUCAUUUCCCAAGUCAAGAGCAGCCUUCAGCCCAGCGACACACGCACAAACUUCAGCCUCUUCGGCACUUGCACAGGGAUGGAGUUUUACGCCCUCUGCUCUAACAAGUCUGCCCAUGAAGUCUCUUAUAAUGUACCCAGCACUAGAUUCACCCGAAAUGGCCACAAACGCAGCAUCUGUGUUUACUUUCAGCCAUCCCACAGGAGGUCUAGUCCAACUAGACAUACCAGCAUGGCUUGGACCAGGUUUGAUCAACACUGACAUAUGACACUUCUGAGGAGAAGGCGCAACAACCGGCUUCUUUCCUUUAUCAUCAGUAGCGAGGCAUUCACCCCAAAAAGAAACAGAGAAGUUUUGCAGGAAUCUAACCGAGUCUAUAAUGGAGCGCUUCCCUUGGUUGUGGACCACAUCAUUUCGGAGGAACCAAGCACGCCAGAACACAAGAAGCACCAAAUCACGCUGCCUUGGUUUGAUUUUUGCAAGGAGGAUUAGAAGCUCACCAUUUUUGUCUUUUGUUGCCAGAUUCAGCUCUUCUAAUCUGACGACGGUCACCCGUUUACUGCUGCUUCUGCUUUGACUGACGUAUUUCUCUGUAUCGCAGUACUCCAUAGAACUCUCAGCACCAAGCUUACCUGUUUCUUUCGGGUUCACGUGGCCAGUCCAUACUGACAGUGUUAGUAUGUAGUGUGUAGUGCCAGGCCAGCUGAAUCUUGAGAAGAAACGACGCCGCGCAGGAAUGAGCAGUUGAUGAGAGACGAGCGACGCGUUGCUUGAGAAGAAACUGAAUAUCAUGUACUACUAGUAGCGGUUUUUCUACUGAACUUGAAUCUGAUGCUGCAAACAAUUUUCUGGAUUUUUUUCAGAAAGAGAAAGACUAAUGAAGGUGCGCGCAACGUGUUCAAAGCGCUGCUCAGAGAGCGAGGGUGUCAAAUUCUUCGGAGAAAACAGAUGAAUGAACGUGUAUUUCUUCUAGCCCUGGCUACCUACGCGCUAGACCUUGGCUUCCGAAAGGUUGUUUUGGCGCCUUUGGAAUUCAGAAGACAUUGAACGGACAGGGACAAGCCAUGUGCCGUGGCGUAGAGGGAGAGCGCGCACUAUCGGCCGGCCUUUACACCGUGUGCCACUGCCAAUGCCAUCAAUCAAUCGUCCUCGUCUCCAUCUUCAUCCUUGUCCCCACCAUCCACCAAAGCAACCAGCUCCAACAACUGCCACUACCGUUCGUUUUGCAGUCCUUGCAGAUUCAAAUGAAAUGGAGAAAACUUCUCCGGUCCGCAACAAAACUCGGCGUGCUCAUCUCUCAUCAUCUGUUUCCGGAGAGUUGGCCACUGGGUGGGGUUCAUCGCUCUCCAGUGAUCACAAGGCCAUAGCACCACCAGUUUCAGAGCUAAAACUUUAAAUUAUUUUUGCUUACGGCUUUCGUUUAGUUUCCGUCAGUUACGAUGAUCAGUAGUUAUUUCUGUUUGCCUUUGCUUUAGUUUAUAAAAGGUUGGCUAACAUCCAGGAUAAUCUUAUCAUCAGAACUGUUGUCAACAUUCCAAAUGCAACAACGGGAGUAGCUAAAUGGAAAGCACAGCAACAAACAGGUUAUAACUUAAAUCUUCCACGACAAUAAGAGCACACCCAACUGUCACACUGGAGUCUUAAUACACGCGAGUCUGGAUUCAGGCAGGAGAUAACAUCUUCAGGAGAUCGAGAUGGAUAAUCGACGGCGGAUGCGAUACUAGGCGCUCGAAACAGGACAUCACAAAGAAGCUCGUUAUUCCCGAUCGGCUUUCUGUAGCAGAGGCGAGGCGGCUUAG
rnacentral:lncRNA from 1 species